UAGGCAUAAAAUAUUUCAAGGGAUUAAUCUGAACCUCAGUACUAAUACCCAAAUGCUAUAACUUUCACAGUAUCAUCAACAACAACAAAAAUAAUAACAGUAAUAAUAAAAAUAAAAAUAAAAAAGAAGAAGAAGGAGGGUUUGAUCCAGCAUGGGACAAAAGCAAGAAUAAAAUUAUUAACUGUUAUAGCAUUUAAGAACUGUAAGAUGUUUCAUUUAUUUUGUUAAUAUGGCUCUCAACUAAUUUUUGUUUUCCUUUAAGUAGUUUGUCUUCCAAUUUUUGGCCUUCUAGUUUAAGAGCUUUCUUUUUGUUCAAAUUAAAGAAUGUAGCUGUGUCUUCAAAACAAAAAUCAAGUUCAAGUAUCCCCUUUUCUUUUAUUGGCAGAACAUCUUAGCAAGAUGCAUGGUGAAAUACUACUAUAAAAUAUAUGUAGACUCAAUGGUCAAUCAAUGUCUGGAUGGUUUCAUCUUUGGAACAUCAUGGAUAUUCCGAGAAAUUGAACAAGUACAAAGUCAUGGAUGAAAAUGCAUUAGUUGUUUCCUGUAUUUCAUUGAUCUUCAUUUACUUGGAUUACUUCCAAGCAGGUUUUUCCCAACAAAGACAAACAGGAGAAUGAGGCAAAUUAGCAAUGAAGUCAAUGCAUUGUUGAAGGGUAUCAUUGAGAAAAGAGAGAAGGCAAUGAAAGUUGGCGAAACUGCUAAUCAUGAUUUAUUAGGUCUACUAAUGGAAUCCAACUACAGAGAUAUGCAAGAAAAUGAUGAGAGGAAGAAUGUUGGAAUGAGCAUUAAAGAUGUCAUUGAGGAGUGUAAGCUAUUCUACCUUGCUGGCCAAGAGACUACCUCUGUUUUACUUCUGUGGACAAUGGUUCUAUUAAGCAAGCAUUCAAACUGGCAAACUCACGCAAGGGAAGAGGUUUUACGGGUUUUUGGUAAUAAAAAACCAGAUGGUGAUGGCUUAAAUCACCUCAAAAUUGUGAGUAACAAUCCAAUAUAUAUUCAAUUUAGUAACUCUUCUUGAAAAUAAUAUAUUACUCUUUUUUUUUCUUUUUUUUCAAUCUUGAGGCAAAAUAUGCUUAGUUUCUGUACCCUUUUUACUUUAAUUGAAGACUAUAUGCAGAUACUUGGUAUCCCCAAUGGAAUUUUUCUUUCCUUAUCUACGUGCACAAUGCAUCAGCACUGGCCAAUUGACUUUACUGAAGAAGGGGCGGACUAUUCUUUUCUUUGCGUGAAUUUUUUAUUUGCUUGUUAGGUUGUUUUGAGUGUGGUGAAAACUUUAUGCAAAUACUUAGUAUCAAUCAUUUACAAUACUUUAUGAUAAUCUUGAUAUUUCCUUUUGCCAAGCGUGUUUUCUUGAAAUUGGAACUCUAGGCUAUAAUAAAUUUUCCGGGGGUUCUUAGUUUGUAUUCACCAGUUACUGUAAGGCCCUAUAUGUACAUGAAAGUAUAUGUCAUGCAAAAAUUUAAACAAUCUCUUUCAUUACUAUAUUCGAAAAGUUCUUUCAUGGUUUGAUGUAUGCUUCUUAGUAAUCAUUUAGUGUAUUUCAGUAAUGAAUUCUCAUGAUAAAAAUAUUUUCUAUACUGCAGGUUACUAUGAUUUUUCAUGAGGUCCUUAGGUUAUAUCCACCAGUGUCCAUGCUUCUUCGAACUGUUUUUGCCGACAGCCAAGUGGGAGGAUUGUAUUUACCAGAUGGAGUGCAGAUUGCUUUGCCAAUCCUCCUACUUCACCACGAUCAUGAAAUUUGGGGAGAGGAUGCAAAGGAAUUCAACCCGGGGAGAUUUUCUGAAGGAGUUUCAAAGGCAGCAAAGAGCCAAGUUUCUUUUUUUCCAUUUGGUUAUGGUCCUCGGAUAUGCGUCGGACAAAAUUUUGCAAUGAUGGAAGCAAAAAUGGCUUUGGCAAUGAUCUUACAACGUUUCUCAUUUGAACUUUCCCCAUCCUAUGCUCAUGCACCUAUUAGUCUUCUAACUACGCACCCCCAGUAUGGUGCACACCUGAUUUUACAUGGACUUUAGCAUCAGAGUUCUUGUUAUCAGUGAGAGUUAGCAAGACCUUUAAACCUAGAUAGUGUUGAAUUUAAAAUGCCCACACUUCCUUUCACUUGAGUGCUCUUUAAAGUCAUUAUAUUAAUAAAAUUCUCUUUUGUAUGUUUGUAAGAGAUCAUAUAUAAAAAUGAUCACUUUACAAGGAGAUGCAUUUUUCUCUAUUCUUGUCCCCCCAAAAUGAAAAGAAAAGAAGAACUGCUGACAAUCUAUAUUUGGAGAAUGGACAUACAUUGAAAUUAUUUCUGAUGGGUGACCAUGCAUGUUGUGAUAUCUACAAGGAAACUACCAUUCCAAUAAUAGGAGAAAUAUUCUCAUUUGUUCUUAUCGUUAUAGAGUGGUGUCUCAUUCACUAUAAUUGGGUAGUAGACUCUUACGGAAUUUUAUGGCUAGGUAUCUGUAAAGAAGUUCGUACUAAAUUGGGUAGCAAGAUAAUACAAUUUUGGAGUUACUACCUCUAAGAAGUUGUCUGCGUACACUUGAUUCCGAUCCAUGUAAUGACAAAUUAUAAACCUCAGGGGCCCGGUCCACCCCCUAUUUUUACUGGAUCUACAAUUUUGCCAUUCUCCAAGAGUUUUAGACAACUUCACAAUGUUCCACAACCUUAACGAACCUUUUGGAUGAGCUUUCAUAUUCUUGGAGCAGCUUGAUGUGCUUGCAGUAGCUUUACAUGAUUGCUAUAAUCCCAUAUUGGAAGCUUAAGAAAGAGGAACCUCUCCUAGUACCUAUAACGACCAAUUGUUAUUUCACUUGAUUUCUUCAAGUGUUGUAUUCUUAUUUGCUUCUAGUUUCACUUCUGCAGCAAGCCAAACUCACUGGGAUGCUCAGAGUUUUUAGGUGCUCAAACACUACAUGGAUUUUUAGGAGAGAUCUUGGUCUACCAAAAGUGGUGGACGUGUUAGAAAGCACUAGCAAAAUAAAAAUAAAAAUAAAAAAAGAAAGAAAGAAAAGCCAAGAAAUCAUUGAUAAUAAAAUAUUCACAGUUGAUCUUGACAUGUGGAUAAAUUAUUUCAUAAUCAAGAAGUAUUCACAAUUGCAAAACCGCCCACAAGCUUACAUGCAUGCCCUUUUAGCUUUGUGCUAUAUAUUUAGAAUUUUGAGAGAAGCAAAGAAAGAAAAAUGAAGAAUAUUUUUUAACAAUUGAAUUUAAAAUCAUGAUGCACUUUCAUCUAUUUAUAGGCACGACAAUAAAUUAUAACAUUUUAUAUAUUUUAACUUUACAAAGUCUACCAAUGACUUUACACCUAUUCUAACAUUACAAUUUAUUUGUGAAUUUAUAAUGUAACUUCACAAUUAAUUUGUAACUUUACAACUUUUGUUUCUAACUUCAUAAUUGAUUCUAAAUUUACAACUUUUGUAAAUUCACAAGUUAUUGGUGCCUAUCUUCCACCUUUUGUAACUUUAUAAUUCAUUGUACAUGCAUUAUAAUAUUUUAAUUUCUAAAGUAAAUAUCUAUGAUUAAUUAACUUAUUUGUAUGUUAUGAACUCUUCAUAUUUCAAAGUUAAUUGUCUCUUAUCAAUAAGUUAAGGUGAGGACAUAUGGUAUGGGACCUUUGUGGGAUCUUUAAUUAAUUACAUCCUUAGUAAGUUUGUUAUGUUUGUUCCAAAUAAAUUUAUUAAUUAUAAUUAUAUUUAAAACGUAUUAUAAUUUCACCCUAAGAAUAGGAGAUAUAUAAGUCAACUUCCCACUUAUAUAUAUACAUAUUAAUCCUUCCAUGAAUUAAUAUUCAUAACAAAUUUAUUAGGUUGAACCAAGAUGACUGUCAUUACCAAAUUACAAGUGCAUCACCUCUUACAAUUAGAUCUUUAAGAAAAACAAUUUAAAAAUUCCUAGUAAACAACAUAUUAUAUUAUAGAUAUGUACACUUGAUAAAAUACUUAUUCCAAAUUGAACAACUAGUAUUUCAAUAUAUUUUGUAAGUGACACAAUAUUUAAUAUUCUCUCAUAAUACAGUCUGUUAUUAGACAUCAACGAUUAACUAUAUCAAAGCUACAUUUAUAUAACUUGAUGACAUCCUUAAGCCAAAGGACUUUAUGCAACACUAAACAAAACAAGUUUUUGUUGGAAUAUCUAGAUUACUCCAUUCCAAGCAUUGUUUCAUGGAGUGCAUACUACUACAAUCCUAAGGAUACUAGAUUUAAUGCAAUGGAAGCAACAAAAACAAAAAUGUUAGAUCUAGGUGCUCUAGAAAACAAUACUUAUUAUUUGAAUAGUCCUAGAUCAACUCUAGUUGGUCAAUAGUAUGAUUUAGAUCCUGAAAACAUUGCAAUUUGUUGUCUAAUGGCUCUCUCCUAAACCUUACAUGUGAAAAUGGUGGAAUCCUUUCUAUAGAGAUGGAGGCUAAGGCUCUAUCUUGUUUGAAGGUUGAAUAAUUGAAGUUAUAAGCCUUAAACCCUUAAUAAGAUUUAUAUAGUCUUUGCCUAUGGGAUUAAGUGACUUUUGCCCAUCUUGAGCUUAGGUCGGUUAAUCUAACCUAAUGGUUCCUAAUUAAUUAAUUAGUCAUAUUGGGAUACAAUUAAUUAAUUAGUCAAAUCCAGAAAGAUUGUUCAUAAGCUCUUAUGCAACUUUGUGUAUUUAUCAAAAUACCCUUAUACACACAUAUGAACAAAAAACCCUAAUAUCCUUCAAAUAAUUAAUGUGCCACCAAGGAAUAUGAACUUGAGUAGGGACUAUUAGGACCUAUAUAUAGGAAAAUAAAGGCCUCUUCAUAAUCUAAUUAUGAACUUAACUCAACACCAUCAUGCUUCCUUGCACCUUCUUAUACACACAAGGUUCAUUAUUGUUUUGACCAAAAUCAAGGGUCUUAAUUUCAUGUUCUAAACACUUGUUCCAUGAGCAAGAGGUGUGAAUUAAUCCAAAAUAGGCUUAUGCAACUUGCAUACUAGAUGCUCUCUACCCUUUGCCAUGAAAACAUCUGGUUGUAUCAUAUGAAUGCUCUCAUCAAGGUAGUCGUUUAAGAAUGUUGUCUUAACAUCCAUAUGACAUAUCUCAUAAUUGAGAUAAACUAUAAUGGAUAUGAGUACUUUGAUUGAUUUGAGUAUAGCUACCACAGAAAAAGUUUCCCACCGUCAAAACUGGGUUUCAAACUCUAAACCUUUAGCUAGAAGCCUAGCCACAAAAGUCUCAAUUGUUAGGAUAAAGGCUCAAAAGCAUGAGAAGAUGUCAUAAAAAAGUUUCCAUUAAUAAAGUUAUUUACUAUGAUUUCCAGAAUCCAUUUCUAUCAUUGAUUACAUUAAUUGUUACCCGAGCAUUCAAAGCUUGUAUCACUUACAUUGUACAUGACUUGAGUGCAUUAGGAGUUGCAUAAAGGAUCCACAACAAGGAUUCUUUGCAGGAUGAUAAGUAGUUCACUACCGGUUCAUGGAUUAGGGCAAUCCAUCAGAGACUAUAUCACACUACCUGACAAUUCGAGGGAUGAUACAAAUAGAAUUCAAGUACAAAUUGUAUGGCUUAUUGACAAAAAGGAAACUGCAUGUGUCAAAUGAAUUAAAGAAGGAAGGGUUCCCUUACAAACUAUUUUGUCUUGGUCAUUAGGAUGGUUUUCCCAUGGUGGGGCACUAUUAUGUAUGAUUACACAUUGGAUAAGACCUACAAUGAAUCAUGACAUUAGAUAUCGAGUAGUCAUGAUUCAUCAAGUUACUAUGUUGCAUGGGCUCUCAAUCUUAGAUAAUAUUGAGCUAGUAUUGAGGUCUUUAGUGACUUUAACCUAUGGGUGAGACCCUAAGGUGGUCAUAUAUUCUCUACAAAUUUGGUUACUAGUAAUUAAGGUAGGUGGGCAAUAGGUAUUCUCAAGAUAGGCACCAUUGAUAUCUUAUGGGUUUGAUAUAGUAUGUCUUUAUGGAUGAUCUUAAGGACAAGUGAUUAAGAAAUCUAUGGUCGUGGUAAUUCCUUAAUUGAAAAUUGACAUAUGCUCUUAGAAAGCUAGAGUAUGUCAAUUGAUCACACAAUAAGAGAAUUUGAAACUCAAGAAUUAGAGAGGUAAUCAUGAGUGGUUGAUAGCAAUCACCUUGUUAGAUUACAAACACCGAUUCAUAGGGACUCUCCAUUUAAUGGAUAGUAGGUCAUGGACCUAAGUUUAUACCUUAUUUUAAUAUCAUAGGAUACUAAAGUGUAGUUGGCCCUUUGAAGUGGAAUAUUAAGCUAUUUUUAGAAUUAGAUUAUAAGGGAGUCAAUAUUUUUCUAUGGAUCCAUGUAGUUCCCACUCAAGCUCAUAUUCCUUGGUGGCACAUUUAUUAAGAGAUAUUAAGGUUCCUUAUUCAUAUAUGUGCAUUAGGACAUUUUGGUAAAAAUAUAAGAUUACAUAAGAGCUUAUGAAUGAUUUUUUGGAUUGGCUAAUAAAUUAAAUUAGAGCCCAAUAAAACUAAUUAAUUCAUUAGGGCCUAAUGGGUUGGAUUAACUGACCUAAGCUUAAGGUGGGUUCAAGUCACUUAAGCCCACAAGAAAGCCUAUAUAAUACCCAAUAGGGGUUCAAGGCUCCAAACACUUGGCAUUCAAUCAUCUAAAGAAGAACCCUAGCCUCUACCCCUUCUAUAGAGGAUUCCACCUCCUUUCAGGCAAGAACCUAGGAAAGGAAGCAAUCAAGUGGAAGACUUAUUGGUUUUUAAGAUCUGCUAUGCCUCUUUAUCGAUUGCUAAUGAUAUAGGAAUAUCCAAAUCAUAGAUUUUACAUCUAAACUUAAUGUUCUAUUUGCUUCAAUUUCUUAGAUCUAGAGAUUCCUAGGAUAAAUUUUUCAUGAACCUAUGAUUUAAGGAUUGUCUCAACAUCAACCUUUCUAUUUACUCCUUUUUUUUUUUUUUUUUUUUUCUAGAUUGUUAAGACAUUGAGUCUUGUUUAUAUGUUGACAAUUUUGUUCCUUUUAAUGUUUGGCUAUAAAAGUCUUUUUAGAUUGUGACUUACUCUCUAUUGAAGAUUAAGAGUUCUUUUUCAUCCAACCGAGAAGUCAUACGUAUGUCUAAAAAGGUUUGGCUUGUGUCAAUUUAGGCUCCAUUGAGAUUUUAGGAGUAUCAACUUUGCUUUGAACUUAAAAUGAUUUAAAUUUGACCAUUGAAAAAGGGUAGGACUGUUCAAGUGGCCUGGAGAGCUCAAAUGCUCAAGAACGCUCAAAUGCUCAAGAACGCUCAAGUGAGCCUUACUGCUCAAGCACCCAAGGCACUCAAGUGGUGGGUGAGUUGGCUCAAGCGGUUAUGAAAAUUUUGCCAAGUUUUUUCACGCAAAAUUGGUUUGGAACUCUUCCAAAACAGAAAUUCUUUAGGCUUUUGCCUAUAAAUACCUCUCUUUUAACCCCUUAAGGGUUAAAGAUCAUUAAAAGAUUGUGGAGAAAUCACAUAGAGAUAAUAUAUUCUUUAGAGAGGAUCUCUUAGAAAGAAAGCCUAAUGUGACACACCAUUCUUAAUCUCUCAUUCAAGGAUUUGAUCUUUGAAUCUUAGGUUGAAGACCUUCAUCUCUUUGACAAGGGUGAAGUGAUCCAUUAGAGCAAUUGAAGGCUAUUGCAUCACAGGCAUAGAUUAAGUUGUAGGUAUUGGAGAGUAAGUCUUUAGGGUAAAGCAGUUAGGUAAAUUGGUGUAACUCGAUUUCUUAUAGUAGAUUUAGAUUAGUAGGUCUUAGACCUCGUGAUUUUUUAUCUCCACAAUAAGUGUGAGGGUUUUCGACAUUAAAAUAUCUAUGCCUUAUUGUUUAUAUCUUUUUAUUAUUUGAUAUAUUAUUUUAAUUGCCUAAAGGAAAGAUUUGAUAAUCCCUAACAACUCACAGGUUAAAAUAUGGGCAUAACAUAUAAAUAUUUAUUUAAAUUUUAAAAUCACCCAUUCACCCUUCUUCCCUUUGGGUGUUCUCUAUUGGACUUUCGGUUUUUCAAUUGGUAUCAAAGUGAGAUAAAAAUUUGAUUCUUUAUCUUAUAGAUUAAAAAUCAAAAUUUUAUUGAUCAUAUAGGGUAAAAAUCAAAUUUUUAUUGAUCUUGUAAGUCCGAUAUGGAAUAAUCUAAACGUGGUGCCCCUUUGAAUAGUGCACCCUACUUUGGUGGGAAUAACUAUUCCCAUUUGGAAAUCUCAUAUGAUGUUUUUCCUUAAAAUGCAAGGAGAAAUGGUAUGAAAUUCAGUAGAAUCUGGAUGAAGAACCCCAUUGAUCCUUGAUUCUGAAGGAAGAUCAACAGAAGAACUUAAACCUAAACACGAAUGGGACAAAGUUGACAAUGAAGAUAGUGAAGCCAAUGCUAGGGUUUUAUUUAGCAUUUUUAAUGAAGUUUGUCCAAAUGAGUUUCACAUGAUGGUAAAUUGUAAACGUUCAAAAGAAGCAUGGGGUAUUCUUCAAGUCACUCAUGAAGGUGCGUCUGCUUUAAAGAUUUCUAAAUUACAAAUGCUUUCCAUUAAAUUUGAGAAUAUUAGGAUGCAUGAAAAUUAGAACUUUUCUUCCUUUUAUUUUGAAUUAAGUGGUAUUGUUAAUUGUUUCUUUAACAUUGGAGAACCUAUUCUUGAUUCUAAGGUAGUAAGAAAAAUAUUAAGAUCUAUCUCUAAGAGAUUUAGACCUAAAGUUGCUACUAUAGAGCAAAGUAAGGACAUCGAUUCUGUGAGAGUUGAUGAACUUGUUGGCUCCAUUCAGACAUAUGAGAUGACCCUACUUAGUUCUCAAAAGCCUAAAGACUCUACCUUUAAGGCUUAUGAGAAUGAGGAAAAAGAUAUUGAAAUGCCAUAUAACAUAGCUAGGGAUGAAUUCACUCAAAUAGAUAAAAGAAUUAAAAAGGUCAUGAAAUUCAAUAAAAGAUUUUUAAAAAAAAUCAAGAAUCUGGAAAAAGCAAAGAGACAUAACAAACAAUAUCCAAAGAAAAGGAUAAAGAUUCCUUCAAAGGUAAGAAAGUUGAAUGCUUUAACUACGGAGGACUGGCACACUUUGCUACUAAUUGUCCCAUCUCCAAAGAUAUUGAAAAGUCUAUGUAGGCAACAUAGAGAAUGCUUCUAUAGCUUCUAAAGAUGCAAGGUAUGAUCCCAAUGACUUUUUAGCUUUUAUUGCAUCUAUGGAAUCUGAGCAUGAUAGUGAUAAUGAUAGUGAUGAUGAAUUUACUGAUGAUCAAAGAGCAUGAAAAGCUAAUUAAGAAUUAUUUAAAUGAUCAUGAUAUUCUUCAAACUCAUAAAACCAAGAUUGACAUGUUUAAUGUAGAAAAGAGUAAUUUUCUUGAAAAAAAAAAAUAGAUUUCUUGAGUUUGAACAUCAUUAUCUCAUUGAAAAGAAUAAUGCUCAAUCAAGAGAUAAAGAGCAAUAAGCCUUCUUCAUUUGUGAAUAAAGUUUUUCACCCUAGAACUUGAGUGCUUAAUGAAAUUCUUGAUAAAUGCAAAACCUAUUGUGAUAAAUGAGGUUUGGGAUAUGUUAAUAAAGAUGAAACUCCCUCUAGUGGAGAAACUAUAUUUGUCAAAGGUAAAAAUAUAACCCCUAAUUAAGCAAAAUCUCCUAAAAAGACAUCACAAUGCACACACUUUAAGAAAACUAGACACUUUCAGUUUAGAUGUUACCUAGAAAGGUUUGAAUCUCAAAUGAGUAGGCUAAUGAAUGAUUUUAUAACUCCCUUAAAAAUAACUUCUUGAAUAAUAGGAAAUGGGAUAAGCCUAAUCAAAAGCCUAGAAGCUAACAAAGCUCCUCUAAGUCACCACUUAGGACUAAGCAACUUUGGAUGAGAAAGGAUAGGAAUAAGUAUCAAGUUGUCUUCAAUGCUCUUAAAGCUAGAUCAUUCAAUGAGUGGUACCUUGAUAGUGGCUGCUCUAGACACACGAUAGGUGAUAAAUCUGAAGAGUAAGUCUUUAGGGUAAAACAACCAGGUAAAUUUGUGUAACUUCAUUUCGUAUAGUAGAUUUAGAUUAGUGGGCCUUGACCUCAUGUUUUUCUUUCUCCACAAUUAGUGUGAGGGUUUUCCAUGUAACUUAGUGUAGUUUUCCUUUUUUGUAGUCACUUAGUGUUAAGAUUCAAUAUUGUAUAAAUAUAAUUAGAAUUUGUGUAAAGAUGUAAUGCAAUGAAAUAGAAGAAAAUAAAAAAUAAAAAUCUCAAAUUUUGGGUUUAAUUUUAUCAUAUUUAUUUUUAAAAGGUUUUUAAAUGAACAAACCUUUAAUAAAUGUAUAAAUAAAUUGAACUAUAUUCAUAUAUUGAUUUAAUUACUGCUACAAUACAAUCUUGAUGCAAUUAAAAAGUUAAGGUUUCUGUUUUUCAGCAAAUGGUAGGGUUUACAAUCUUAAUGCAAUUAAAAAGUCUAGGUUUUUGUUUUUCAGUAAAUGAUAGCGUUUGGAAAAGUUGAGAGAUAUGGGAUUUCUAUUUUGAAGAACAUGAGUGGCAUGUAUUCUUACUCUAAUUGAAAUAUUUUUCUGGUAGAGCUCUAGAAACAGGGGGAUGUAGAAAGGAGAAGUUGGGAGACAAUGCAUAAUGCAAUAUAUUUCUAGAAAAAGGGGUAUAGUUUUUUUCUUGUAGAACUUGAAGAAAAUAAAGAUGAAACUAUUGUUUUGUUUUUUGAAAACAAGAGAGAAAGUGGACUUGGAUUUGUUUUACUAGAUGAAGGAAGUUGAGAUACAAUAUUUUGGAUUUUUUUUUUUGUCCAAAUUAUCUUAUCAUUCAUCAAGUAAUGCUCUAUAUAUCUGUUUAUUACAAGUGGAAUAUAUAUAUAUAUAUGUUGUCUUAGAAUUUUGAUUUUGUCAUAGUUGUUGUAUAUUCUAUAGAAUGUUAUCAUUUAGAGUACCAUGGAAUUAGAAAUUGAUCAACAAACCUAGUUUGAUAACUAAAAUAAACCACCAUUGUUUUAUCAUAGAAAACUGAAAGCUGGAGGCCUUUAAAGUAGCUGGAACAAUAAUAUGAAAGAUGCAAAAGUAUGCAUGGGAGUUACAAGGUACUUAAUGAUUGGUCUUUUUAAUUGCCCUGUGUUGUGAACAAGUAAUCAAAGUAAAUAGUGAAUAUGAGGGUUAGAGUUGAAGGUUCAUUUUGCAUAAACUUGUAGCUUAUCUAGUCUUGAAUUUCAAUUUAUCUUAAUAAACACAAAUUCUAGAACUUUUGAGUACACUAAAUACAAGAGAUGAACACUGUUAGAAUAGGAUAAAAUGGUGUACUUAUUGUCAAUACUUUUUCAUAAUUUUAUUUUGUUUAAAUGUAACAUAAAGGCACCAGUUCUAUGUGUGAAUCUAUCAAUUGUAAUUAAAUAAGUGAGAAUAUAGAAAUCAUAUGUUUUUUCAAUUUAUUUUUGUAUAUCAAAUUUUCUAAAUCGUACUCCGAUGUGUUAUUUUUUUGGUAGUUUAAACCAUGAGCCUCUUGUCAGCUAUCCAUCAAAAUUAGUCUAUUAAGUUUUUUUGAAUGUUGUUGAGGAUUAUUAUUAUUAGAGGAAUUCAUAGAAAUUAAUUUGAAAAAAAAAAGCUUGAAUUUUGUAUUUGAUAAUUCCAAAAAAAGGAUAAAAAAAAAAAACAAAUAAUAACUUAUAAAUGCCACCAAUUGAAAACUACAGUGCAUGCCUAUGCUUUAGCGGGGGUAAAAAAACAAAUGCAACUGCAUAUCUAUGGUAGGGGUCAAAAGUAGGAUUCAACUAUAAGAAUCAUUUAUUGCAUCCUAGUUGUGGCCACAGCUAAUGCUUGAGCAUGUACUCACAGUGAUAUUAACAACUGAAACUAUAAAAUAUAGUUACACCACCUAUGGCCACACUCAGUGGCAGUCAGUUUGGUGUGGUAAUAUGUUGCAAUCGCACCAUUUAUAAUCUUUAGUGAGGGUCACUGACUGCUACUAUAACCCAUUUUUCCUAUAGUACCAGUGUGUCCUAAAUGUAAGCUAAUUAUGAUCUAAUGUAUGAAUUGAAUUUGCAGUCAUAUGAGUGAUUAACCGUGACCUAUUUAAGUGUUAAAUCAAAUGCCAAAGGAACCUUAAGCAAGUACCUAAUUAAAUCUAAAAUGUAAUUAACCUUUUAAUUACUAUAUAUGUAUGUAAAUUAUGAAAAGUGAACUUGGAAGAGCACAAAAUCAAAGUAUUUAUUCAAAGCCAAUUAUUCAUCAAAUGGCCUAUUUAGGUUUAAAAAAAAAAUCCCUAGCAUCAAAUUAAGCCUAAAAUCAAUACUAAACCAUGAAAUAAUAAAAAUCAAUCACCUAAACAAUGAAUCUAUCAACACUCAUGUGUGUCCUAAUUUAUCCACACCCAAACAUGUUUAAAUUCAAAUCAAAAGAUACAAAAAAAAAAAAAAAAAAAAGUAAAAAAAGAAAGAUGAAGAAAUUAAAAAAAUGAAAAUUAAAGAAAACUAAUCAGGAAACUCUCUUAAAUUCGAUGAUAUAGAAUGUUCUUCAAAUUGUUUGAUGUCUUCAAUAUGCAGCCGAACACAUAUGUUUCUCCAAGCUAAUGAUUUCUUUCCUUCUAAGCCACUAAUGCGAACUCUAUGAGUUGAUGAUAUGUUAAUGAAAAUGAAGAUAUAUAUGGUGUGUUCUGAGGGAAAUGCAGAAGAUGAAUGAAGGAGCUUGCUAGUAUUGUAUGUUGUUGAUGUCACAAGUGUAAUAGUAGCAAAAAGGAUGUGCACUGCUAUGGAGAAGUGGAAGCUAGUGAUGUGACAAAGUGUUGUGAUCCAUUUCCACUCCACCCCAAUGGGCGGCUUAGUUUCUACCUCAACCUUUCUUUAGACUUACAACAAUAGGGUUUUGGUUGAGGAUAUGCCCAAGGAUUUACCUUUGGCAUUGUGCUUAUUUCAUGAAAAACUUUUUUACUACCAAGAACAUCAACAACCUCAAAAUCAUGCAUGUCAAUUAAAGCAUGUUCAUUCCAUGAAUGCAGGUAACAUGAUGCAGUGUGAUUGGUCAACAUUUGUUUAUUUCAUAGAGCCCUCCCUUAUGUCCUCUAAACUAGAAGCUUCUUUCCUAAUGUCUUUCUCUUCAUGUGUCUCAUAAGGGUAAGUUUCAACUAGCCCUUCUUGGUUUUGCUCAUUAGGUUGAGAAAAGGAGUAGAAUUCCCCUUGCUUUAGAGCUUUCAAAAUAGAAAUAAACCGACAUACAAAAUCUUUGAGUUCUUAUAAUGUUUGUGUAAGCUCACACAUGGAGUGUGAUUCUCCAUGAAGGGAUUAAUAGUUUCCUUAAACUUAAAAUUAGGAGUCGGCUUAUAGGAACAUAAACUUGGUUGAGGUUCUUGGUAGUAGGGAUGAAACUAUUGUUGAAAAUAUUGAGAGUGCUCACUAUAGAGGUGUUCAUUCAAGGCCUCUUUUAAUCUAGGAAUGGUAGGACAAUGGUGGGUCAUGUGUGUCUGUUAUCAUAAAUUGUACAAAGGACUUCAUUAGAGUUAGACACACUCUUAAACUCUAUUUUUUCUCCUCCAUUACCUCCACCCUUUUGGCUAAUGUAGCUAACCUAACACUAUCGUGCUUUUCACUUACAAUAUACUUCUCCCUACCCAUGGCACUUGUUCCUUCUUUUCCUCUAGUUAAAUUUUUCUUAAGCUCAGAAGAGUCCCAAGCUUGAGAACUUCUUACUAGUUGCUAUAAGAAAUCAUAGACUUCCUUGGGCUCUUUACUCAUGAAUUCCUUUUUGCACAUGGUUUCAACAAAUUGGUGAGAUUGAGUGGUUAACCCAUUGUAAAAUAGGCUAACUACUCUCCAUGGCUCAUAACCAUGAUGGAACAAAAGUUGAUUAAAUCUUGAUAUCUUUCCUAACACUCAUAGCAUGACUUCUUCUCAUUUUGUUUAAAAAGACUGAUUUUCCUUCUAAGAGUCAUUGUACGUUGAAGAGAGAAAUAUCAAUUAAUUAUAUUUUCAAACCAGGUACCGAUAAACCUUGGCCUUAAACCAUAGAACCACAAUUUAGCCUUCUCCUUUAAAGAGAAUGGAAACAAUUUAAGUCUUACAACAUCCAUAUUGCAAUUAGACUCUUAAAAUGUUCCAAAUAGUGCCUCAAAAUCUUUACGAUGGAGAUAAGGAUUUUCUUCAUCUCCCCAAAAAAAUGAGGUAGUAGUUAGAUCAUGGAUGGCACAAUGUUAAAUGAUUGGGCAUUGUAAGGAGCUAUUAUGCAAGAGGUGACACUUGCCAUGGGCGGUUGGAGCUAAUCUCUACGAGUUCAAAUUUGAGCCAUGUUGGUAGGAUUAGGAUUAAGUAAUAUGGGUCUAACUAAAUGGUCUUGACUGUCCCUAGUCUAAUUUACCAUAUACAACUUUAGCAACAAUCCUAAUAACCAAUUCCAAACAAAUGAAUUAAUAAAAAAUAAUAAAAUAAAAUAAAAAACAAGAAUAAUGCAAGUAGAUGAAAUAAAAGAAACGAGAGUGGAAAGAAUUCAUCGAGUUGUGAUGACAAUCACAACCAAAUAAACUCCCACAAAAUUUGUUGCAAACUUUAAGAACUUUCCUCAAUAUUGAUGCUAAAAACUUGACAGCACCAAAUGUGUGUGAAUAAUUUAUUGGUUCCCCAAGCAUAGGGGUGUGGUUGUAGCUUUAGAAAAAACUCGGGAAGUUGGGUAUCUAACCUCAAAGAAGGGAUCUUACAAUGUAGGUGAGGUGGAAAGAAUAAAAAAAUGAAUAAAAUUGAUGGUGAAAAAUAAUACUUUCUUGAAUUCUUGCUUGGGCAAAGAAGUGGUUGGAAAGUUGUGAAAAGUUGUAACUAAUAAUCAAGGAAGGGGGAAUCCCUAAGGUCCUUUCCCUACCUUAGAAUGAUCCUUGUCAUUCAUAUAUCAUUUGAAAGUGUUCACUCAUCAAUUAAAUCCCAAUGUAUAACCCUAAGUUUUCCUAAAAAAUCCAAAAUAUAAGUGAUUUGAAAAUUGUUGUCUUGGGCUUACAUAGGGUUGUUCCAAGUGAAAAUGGUUUUUCCCAUUAAAUGCUUGGCAUACCCUAUGGGAAGCCUAGGCUUCAAUAUCUAAUUAGGCAUAAACAUUUAGUGGUUUCAUGAACCCAAUAUAUCAACCAUUUUUCCAAUUAGGGUAUUUAAGGUUGUCCCAAGUCAAAAUGGCUUUUCCAUUAAGCACUUGGGAUACCUUAUUGAGACCUAUAAUUCCCAAUUAUUAAAUGUUGAAAUGAGGUGAUUUAUAUUGAACAAAUGAGAUUCUAUUGAUGAAUUAAAAACAAUUGUUAAUGAAAGGAUGCAUUCCAAUGGAAGAAUGGGAAGCCUAGGGCACCCUUUCCCCAACCUAAAGAAAAAUGCAAUAGAUAUUGAAUUGAAAUUAACUUGAAAGAAUAAAAGGGAAAGCAAUAAGUUAAACAUCAAACCUUAAAUCAAAUAUAAAAUUUCAAUGAUCAAUGAUAAUAAAAGGAUUCAAUUAUGCAUUAGAUAAAACCAAUUCAAAAUAAAGGAAAUAAAUGAAAGCAAGAACAAGAAACUAAAGAAAACUUAACAACAAAAAAGUGUAUCCAAGAUCUCCAAUUCCCAAGGUUGACUCCAAGAAGUAGCAAAAUAUGUAAGAACUCCCCCUUAAGGGAGAAGAUCUGAACCCUCCCAAUGAUUGCUCAUUGCCUCUUUAUAUCAUUCCUUAAAUCAUCCCUAUGUUCCUUCAAAUGAGAGCUUUUCCCAUGCAAGUCAAGGGCUCAAGAAUGGGUUGGAAUCAGCCCCCCUCUUUGGCCCAGCCCAUUCCUCAUUUUUAAGAAAAUUAAAACGCUUUUCUUGUGUUACAAUUAUAUGAGUUUUAAGGCCCAAAGGGCGAUUAUAGGUGGCGAAGCCGAUGUAAGGCCCUUGGUGGUGCCUUCAUGUGUUGAAACAUCACUUGUAUUUCUCAAAUUUAUUCCUCCAAACUUUUAGGCAUGUUUUGCAUCACGAGGAAUUGAUAUGGGAACAUCCAGAUCUAGGUAUGAGUAUUAUAUCUCUAGACCUAUCAUUAAUAAUAAUUUUUUAUUAUCAUUUUAUUCUAUUGUGAUAGAUUUAGAGAUGCAUAGGGAUAUAUGCAUGCACCCUACAAGAUCCAAGGCAUAGGAAUUGAGAGAUCCAGGGUUCCUAACAAAUACCAUAUACAUAUAAACAUGCAUUUUUUUCCUUUUUCUUUUCUUUUUUCUGCAUACUAUGAUCAACAAGGAACAAUCUCCAAUAAAGAUACAUAUAAUAAAGCUCUCCCCACAUAUUGUUAAAAUGUGAAUGCUCAUUAACAAGAUAACCCUCUCAAGCUAAUAUCUUUGGAUCGUUGCCCAUUGGGAGAAAUAGAGGAAGGAUAUGAUUGUCCUCCACAUAGUGAUAUAUGGAAAACCAUCUCUUAGGGUGAAACAAAGAGAAUGACAAUAAAAAAUGACAUGAGAAAAAGAAAGAAGGGAUGAACAUCACAAGUGAUGAUACAGGAUAUAGGAAAAAGUUGAUAAAGACAAACUAGAGAAAGCACAAUGAAAGGUGAGGAAUAAGACCCAAAUAUGUUUGUUAGGUCCAAAGCUGAUGAGAUCCCUAGUCAAAGCACGCAAGCACUAUAAGGUCCCUAACUCAAUGUAAAUAGUGAGUGAGGUGAUGAAAAGAAAAGGUUAUGAUGCUCGCAUGAGGCUCAAAGGGCUAUCAAUAGAUAACUCUAUAUUUAAAGGUGAUUGGGUAUAAAGGUUCAUGGAAUGAUGACCACCCAUCCUUUGACCAUAACAACAAACAUUUUUCUCACAAACUCUCACAUGGUUGGCACUACAACUUGGUGUUCAUCUAAUAUAGCUAUGCCACCCUCUGGAAUGAUGUGAAAUCUUACACCAGAUACUCCAUGUAACCUCUAUGUCUAUCUCAAUCUUAGAAUAGUCAAUAAUCUCAUCAAGCAACCAACCCACUCUCUCAUCAUAAGCCACAUGUCAUCAUCUCAUGAAACCAACCUCUAUAGACAUGCCAACUCACUGAAGUCAUGUGUAAGGGCCUAAUUUGGAUACUUUGCGACAACCUCAAAUAUUCUCUUCUCGACCACUAAGUAGUCAAUAAAUACGUAGAGUAAUCAACUAACUCCCUCAUCACAAACUAUCUCUCAUACUACAAAAGUCACCUUUGGUCCAAUCCUCUCAAACUUUACUUGGUUGAAUUGAAUAAGGGAUGUACAAGGAUAGAAUAUGCGAAAAAGUAAAGGUCAUGCAAUGGUGUUAAGGAGAAAUAUUUUGGACAAGGUAUUGCUUUAAUCGAAAGGCAAAAUAGGUCACAGUCUUGAACUCCCUAGGUUAAUCCUCUGUACCUAGGUCAAUUGACUCAAUAUCCUCCAUGAUGGGUUAAGUCUUAGUGGUCAUGAUAUGCAAAUGAUGAGAUGUCUCAUAUCAAAAGUCUAACAUAUAUCAAUGUGGGGAGGUGCAAAAUAAAAAACAUACUCAUAAGAAAAAAAAUUACAUAUACCUAUAAGAGAAAAAGAAAAACAUAUACUCAUAGAAAAAAGAAUAUAUCAUUGAAUGAAUUGAUGACUACAUCAUAUGUGAAAUAAAAAUGACUCCAAACAAUUGGACUCUCAACAUAGACUGUAAACUACAACUCUACUAAAACCAAACUCGACAAAAUGAAGAUGGCUCUAUCAACAACCAUAACCAAACCAAAAAAUGCUCUAAACUAAAAUGUUGUAAAGAGAUGUAACCACAUCAACUAAAGUAAAUUCUCAACCCAGAAGAACUUAAAGUGUUAGGUGAUCAUCAAUACCGCUAACAUCCAUAACGAUCUACUGAAUACUAAGAGGAUGAGGAACUACAUCACUAGGUAUAGGCAUAGGUGAUCAUCAAUACCGCUAACAUCCAUAACGAUCUAUUGAAUACUAAGAGGAUGAGGAACUACAUCACUAGAAUGUAUAGGCAGGGUGUUAGUGGUCACACUCAGGCCAAGAUAAGUUGACCAUCCAACACUAAUCAAAUCAUGUAUCACAUAGAAGAGGGUUGUGCAAUGCUCAAUAUCUUGAGUUUAAUGAUAUAAACAAUGCUUAUGUAGAUAGAAGUGGAGGAGAACAGGAUGUGGUAGGGGACAUGGUACAAAAUGGGUUAUUAAUCUAACAUCUUUGAACUUCUUAAAGCUCUAGUCAAAGUUAUACCAAUGGUGAAAACUAUCUCGCAUGCCUUUAAACAUAUGGUUUGGGUGGUUGAAGAGCACUGGCUCUCGAAUAUGGUAGUCGUGGUUGAAUAGUAGUCUAAGCAAUGAAAGGUUGUUGCAUAUAAAUUGACUAGUAUUGGCACUAUGGAGAAGGAAACCAGGCUCUAACUAUGGAUGGCCUAUGAUAUGAAUGAUGAGUAUUCCUCUAAUGUUGAUAAUUGAUGGUGCUAACCUCUCCAAACCUAUUGGGUGAUCUAAUAGGCUUCCUCCUCUUAUUUUUUAGGGAAGGAGUAGGGUCUGUCCACAAACCUCCGUCAAUGCCUUUCUCAACAUUGAUGUUAGCCUGAACUAAGCUCCUAAAAUCCUGGAAAGGAAUACCCAUGAGGUGUCUAGUAAACCUAGGUUGGAGGUUUCGAAGAACUAUGUCAAUAUGAUCUUGCUUAUUAGCUUGAUCUACCAUAUUGGCCACUUUUGCCCUCCAACGACUAAAAAAUGAAGAAAUGGUAUCAUCUAGCUUUUGCUUAGUAGUCUCUAACUCUCUAAUGGAAACAUCAAUAUCGACAUUGAAAGCAAACUAUGUUAGAAACUCAUUAUAAACCCUCCAUUUUGUUCCUUUAGUACAUGCCGCCCCAUUAGGUGUUCUUUCAGUACUCCAUAGCAAUUUCCCAUUGGCCCACUGCUACUCAUAUAGCUUACUUUUUUGAGCCACCUCAAUGACUAUAGUUAAAGGAUUUAUCUGACCCCUCAUUUUGACCCUUGGCAACCUUGAGUUAGAUCUAUGAUUUUCUUUUUUUCUUUUUAGGAUAGAUCAUUUAAGUACACUUUUAAAACACUUAAACAUGCCCUAACACACUUACACAUGCCUUAGCACACAUAGACACACCCUAGGUCAAUUAGGCACCUUUUCUAAUCACCUUAGGUCACUUAAGAACUUCUUUGAUCACCCUAGGUUACUUAAGCACCUUUUCUAAUCACCUUAGGUCACUUAAGAACUUCUUUGAUCACCCUAGGUCACUUAAGCGCCUUUCCUUAUUACCCUAGGUCACUUAGACACUUUUCUAAUCACCCUAGGUCACUUAAGUACUUUUCUGAUCACCCUAGGUCACUUAGACACUUUCCUAAUGACCCUAGGUCACUUAGCACUUUCUUGAUCACCCUAGGUCACUUAGACAUUUUUUUUAGGAUAGAUCACUUGGACAUUUCUUUCGUUUUGUUUCACUUUAGGUUAAGUUUUCGUUUUGGUUGCUUGGUUUUAGGUGAGUAUUUGGCUUGAUUUUGAUUUUUUGAUUGCAUGAGAUAUAGUUUUUUUAGUUGUGCUAGUUCGAUAUUCCAUUUUUCAUUAUUAUCAGUUGCAUUGAUAUUCAUUUUCAAAUUUCGAUUGCAUAUGUGAUAUUUAUUUUUUUUGUUUUAGAAAAUGGCUUAAGAUUGAGAAUUCUUUUUAUUUUUUAUUUUAAUUGGGUGAAUUAAUAUUUUGAUUUUCUUAUACAUAUAUUUUUUUGAUUCUUUAGUUUGUUUUUCUAUUCCAUGAUUUCUAAUUUUAAUUUAUUUCAUUUUUAUUUUGCAUGAACGUGACUUGCUAUUUUUUCUAAAUUGUAUGAUUUUAUAUUUUAUCUUUUAUUUUCAAAUAUGCAUCUUUCCUUUACUUUUUGUUUUACUUUUGCAUGAAUUCGGAGAUAAUGGGGAAUUUGUUUGACAAAGAAACAUGGGUUGCCAUCCACUUACCUUAAGGACCACACAAAGGAUAUCACUUAUUAUGGGAAGGAAGAGAUCUCCACGCAUGCACUUGGAAAGAAUGGUACAUAGCCAAGCAUCAAAAGGAAACUAGGGAUUCUGCCAGUUGACCGGAGAGUCCUCAUUGAAACACAACACCAUGGGAAAAAGAGGAAGAGAUUCAACUCGCGCGCACUAUCGAGAGAAUUUUCCAUAGGAGACCACGAUCAGUAACAUACAUCCAUUCGGGGGAUUCCCGAGGGCAGGAUAGCGUGCAUUCUCCAUAGCCAGCCACACCAUAGUGGAGAUAUCACAUAUGCACUAAAAGAAAAAAACUUGUUUCUCUCAAUAGAAGAACAAAUAACGCACCAUAGGAUUUUUAAUGGAAAAAUAGGAAGGGAUACACAGAUUUUUGGAGUGGAUUGCAUUGGGGAGGAGGACGUAAUCUUCAGUUUGGGGGAUAUCCACCGACACCAUGGGAAUGCAUAUAGAAAGCAACAAAGCACACACCAUGCGGAAUGGUUCCCAACAUGGCUGCAUAUUGUAGCACACUUGGAGAUCUUUUGGGAACACGCAUCAUUGGAGGAAGUCAGACCACACACAGCAGAUUGUCAUUCUCCAAGACUUACACGCACAUGCCAUGCCGCCUUGAAGGAUUUCCAUUGUGGGUGCCAUUCACGGCUGCACCUAUUUUAAAUAGAAACACCACACUGCAACAUGUAUUUUGGAGGCUACCUGGACGCACUUUCCAUGGGCUGCAACUUGCAAAAUUUGUUCACAACCACACUUAGGUACUCUCCAUCAGUUUCAGAGUGGUGUACAACAAUCAGAUAAGAGGGAAAUACAGAGUCCCGGGGAAUUGCAUUCCCACCUACACACAUUGUUUCGAAGAGGUAAGUUAGAUUCUUGUUUAUUAGUUUUGCUUUUUUUUUUUUAAUUAGGUUAAAGUUUUUUUUUAUUCAUUAGUCUUGAUCCUUACUAUUAGUCCGAAAAAGUUAUAUAUUAAUUUUGAUUCAUCUUCUCUAUUGGAAGCCUUUAUAUUUUUUUUUAGUUCGUUAGAUUAAAUGAUUCCAUGUGACAAAGUGUUUAUUUUUAAAUUUGUUUUUAUUUUAGUUUAGUUUAGAUGCACUAAUAUAUCUUUUGUUUGUUAGUCUAAUUCAUUCCAUAGGACAGAUUUCUUAUUUUCUAGUUUGUUUAGCUUUAAUUUGAUUCAUUUUAGUUGGAUUUAGAUGCUUCUAUAAUUUUAAUGGAUUCUAUGUGAUAAAUUCUUAUUUAAUUUUUUUUUUUCUGAUUUAGUUUGAUUCCUUUUAGUUAAUUCAAAAGUUAUUAUAAUUUUAUUUAUCUAGUUUGAUUGAUAUUUUAGUCUUAAAAUUACUAAAUUUAAAUUCAUGAUUCAUCUUAUAUUUAAUCUAAGUGUUUUACAGAAAUUCAACUACUUGGUUUAAUUGAUUCCCCAUUAUUUCCUUUAUGCUUUAAAAUUGAUAAUUUUAGUGCUUGAUUGAUUCUAUUUAAUUUAUGUUUUCUGAUAUCUUAAUUAAACAAUUGAUGUGUUCAAGAUUGAUAAUUUUUUAGCUUUUGAUCCAUCUUGUUUUAGUCUAUAUACUUAUAAAAUUCUAAUGGUGAAUUAUUGAUUGUUAUCAUGUUAUUCUAUUUUGUCAAAAAAAUGCUUUGCUUAUUGUUGUUAGGAUUGAGCCUUGGAAAGCAUGAUAUGAUGUAACAGAUUGAGAUUCAUUUAUAAAUUUAUUUAUUUAUUUUUCUUGGUUUCCCUUAAAUAUCUCAUUUGUAUUAAUUGGUUAUUUGAGCAUACACACCCCAUAUCACUUACAUUGCAUAUGACUUAGGUGCAUUAAGAAUUGCACAAAUGAUCCAAGUCAUGGGUUUCUUACAGGGUAAUAAGUUAUCCAUUGUUGGUUCAUGGAUUUGGGCUAUCCAUCUGAGAUUAUAGUACACUACCUCCUAAUUGGAGGGAUGACUUGUCUUGGCUGUCGGGAUGGUUUUCCCAUGGUGAGUGUAUCAGUACAUUUGAUGUGCAUUGAACAAGACCUACAAUGAAUCAUAAUACAAGGCUAUUAGUUGUCACAAUUCACCAAGCUGCUAUACUGCAUGGACUCUCAACCUUGAGAGGAUAUUAAGCUUGUGCCAAAGUUAACAUGAGGCUUUGACCAAUGGAUGAGACCCUAAAGUGGUCAUAUAUCCUUAUGGAUUGGGUCAUUGUUGAUGGAGGUUGGUGGCAAUAGGUAUUCUCAAUAAAGACACCAUGAUAUCUCAUGGAUUGAGACGGUGUGUCCCUUUGGGUGAUCCAAAAGACAUGUGAUCUAAAAGACUAUGGCUAUAGCAUUUCCUUUAGUGAAAAUUUGGCAUAUACUCCUUAGAGUUAGAGUAUGUCAAUCGAUCACAUAAUAAGUGGAAUCUGUAACUCAAGGAUUGAAGAGGUAAUCUUGAUAGGUGAGAGCACCGCCUUGUUAGAUUACAUACACCAGUUAUGGGGAGUAUGCAUUCAAUGGAUAGUAAGUCAUGGACCCCGAGCUUCGUCUCAUUGUUAUUUACAUGGGAUACUAGAGUACAAUUGAUUCUAUUUAGUGGAAUGUUGAAUCAACUUCAAACUUAGAUUCUAAGAGAGCCUGUACUCCUAUGGGUCUUAAUGGUUCCCACCUUGAGCUCAUAUACCAUGAUGACGUGUUUUAUAAGGGAUGAAUUAGCUUUUGGUUAAUUUUUGUGCAUAAGGGCAUUUUGGUAAUUAUGCAAGGUUGCACAAGGGAUAGUGAACAAGUUCUCUAGAUUAAGCUAAUUGAUUAAUGAGAAGGUCCUAUUGAUUAAUUAAUCAAUUAAGACCCAUUUUGGGCUAUAUUAAGUGACCCAAGCCUUGGUAGGCUUACUUAAGCCAAUAAGGGAACGCUAUAAAUCCCCCAUAAGGGUUAGGGUUUCCAUAAACUUGAGAGAGACUUUGUCUUCCACCUCCAGAAAAAUAGAGAGAUAGUGAGAGACAAGAGAUCCUCAUUUCCAAAGCCCACAUUUUGGAGUGUCAAAAUCGUGGUUUAAGUCAUCAGGUGAAAGAUCUUGGAUGUACAAGACUUUUAGAUUCAUUAUUCUUCAUCUUCACUGAGUGGAAUUGAUUUGGGAACAUCCAAAUCAAAGGUAAAGUUCUCUAAUGACUUUCCUCUUGAUCCUAGAAUUGUAAAAAUAUGAUUUUUGCUUCUAUGGCAUAGGAUCUGGAGGUUUAGAGUAGUUUUGCAUGCACCUAUAUGAUCCAAGGUAAGGGAAUGGAGAAAUUCAAGGUUCCCAACAAUUGCUCUGGUGAAACCCCUACAUAAAAAUCAUUUUUCAAAAACCUUUUAUUGUUAACUUGUUUAAUUUACUAUGUCUUUGAAAAGAAAAUUGGAUUUGAUCUAUUUUGAUGUUUUUAAUUCUUUUUUCCAAUGAUUGUAUGAUAUUGUAGACAUCUUGAACAUGAAUUUAGAACUUUGUUUGAGUUUUAAAAAAAAAAAAAAAAACAAUUUUGAAAUGGAAGAUAUAAACAAGACUUUUAAGGGUUUCGUUUUCACCUAAUUCUAAACACUCGAAAUGUUUUGUAAAAAAAAAAAUUAUUACAUGACUUUGUAAAUUCGAUUUAAUAUUUUUUUUCCUCAAUUUUAGACUUCUUGAAAUUGAUUUUAGACACAUAAAAUAUUGAAAAUAAUUUUCCUAAUUGAAAGAUAUAAUUUUCCUUUUCUGCACUAACUAUACUACCCAAAUUUUGAAUAGAGGGGUUGUUUGAUUGUUUUUAAAAUUGAUCUAUGUGCCUUUUGACCUUGUCUUUAUUUUUCUUAUAAAGUAGACAUUCUAAAUUUUUUUUCAUUAUUUUUAGACUUCUUGAAAUUGAUUUUGGACACAUAAAAUAUUUAAAAUACUUUUCCAAAGAUAUAAUUUUUCCUUUAUGCAUUCAUUGUACUACCCAAAUUUUGAAUAAAGGGGUUGUUUGAUUGUUUUUAAAAUUGAUCCAUGUGCCUUCUGACCUUACCUUUAUUUUUCUUGUAAAGUAGACAUUCUAAAAAUGUUUCAUGAUUUUUUAACACUUCUAUGUUAGUUUUAAAAAAUCAAUUUAUGCAUGUUAUUGAAUUUUGCCUUAGUUUGAACCUUUUAGGAUGUUUUUGUAAACUAGAAUUAAUUGGAGCUUUAUUAAAUUUUUUGGCCUUUUGGGUGAUAAUCUAGACAUAUAGAAGAGGUCCCUUGAAAAUAUUUGUAAUUAAAUCCACAUUCUAGAUAUAUUUUUUAGGAUUUAUUUUGCAAACCUUUUUGUUCUAACUACAUGCUGAAAUUUUAUACAAUGUUUAACUUAUAUUUUAAUCUGGCAUUAACUUUGACUUUUGUUCUAUAAUAUAGACAUAAUGAGGAUGUUGUGAGAUUUUUUUAAUGAUGAAAUAGUGUUUCUAGAUAUUUAGAUAGGAUUUUUCUUAUGGAUGUUAUCAUUUUAAUCCUUUGUUGUGUGGUUUUUCUUAAUCACUAAUUUUGGUAUUUUUGUUUUCACGUACACAGUUUAGCCUUAAUGAUAAGUUGUAUGCAUAACCUAUGCCAUUUAUAUUAGGGUCUUGAAUCCUAUUUAUUUGUUAUUGCAAUUGUUCUAACCCCUUCUAGCUAUGUGCAAGCACAUUGUAGGUUAUGCGUGUUAUCUAGGUCUGUCCCUUACAACCUUUAUCUCUUUAACUCUUUAAAUAUGCAAACUUUGUUUGUGAAUACUCUCGUGCUUAAUAUUAUCUUGAUUGUUCUAAUUUGUUGCUUGAUUCCUUGAACAAGAUGAAAUGCAUGUUGAGUGUUGUAUCAUUUGUUAAACUAACCUCUAAUGUUUCAUGAAAACACUUUAGGAUGCAGCUUAGGUAUGCUAAUCUUCUUUUCUUAUAUAACUAUGUUUUUGGUAUGAUUGUUUUGUUAUGAAUACCAUGUUUCUUAGCCUUAAAAAAAUCAUCUUUUCUUUUUCUUAGCAACCCUGAUCUAGUAAUUAAUUGUCAUGCUUCCUGGAACCUAGUCAAUAGAGACUUUUUUUUAAGACUUAAAGGGAUACUACCUUUUUAAGGUACCUUCUUGAUAGGUAACAUAAUCCCUAGACCUAGACUUGAUUUUUUCAAAUAUAUGCUUUCCAAAAGUUUAAGGAGUCAUUUUUCUUAGGGUUUUAGUUUAUCAUUUUAUUUCCCCUUUUAAAAAAAUUACAAAAAUAAGUGGUGACUCUAGUUUUUUUAUAAAAUAUAGUUUUUCACCUUUAAAAGUGAGUCUUGCCAACAAGUGGGGAUGCAUGUGAAAAGUGCAAGUCCACACUCAUAAGUUACAUCCUCCAAAGUACAAAGUCUUGAAGGCUCAAUAGAUGCAAACCACCUAUGUGUUGCUCCACUAAAUGACACGGGGAAUAAGGUAACUAAUUAUGCAUCAUCUAAUCCAUGUUCUCUCAUAAUUUUACUAUAGAGCCACAUGAAUCUUCAGGCAACCUACUCCAUUGUAACGCUCAAUAUCUAACAUACAAAAUUUGGCUGGUAGGCAAGUAAGCAGCUAGUAAACCAUCAUUGUCAUUCUAGGUCAUACCCUCUUCCUAUAGCAUCAUUUGUCACAUCUUGGUCUCAAGUGUCUCCAUUCUAGCUUCCUACUCCACCAAUAUUACAUCAUUCAUAACAUGAACAAUAGGAGGUGGUGCCAAAGUAGCAGGUGGUGGAAUAGUCUCAUAAUGGUUUGACAAGUGAAGUGGAGCACCAUGUGAAACCUAAGGUGGGGGAAUCUGUGGUGUUUGUGUAUAAGAAGAGUCAUCUCAACUAUAAUGCAAAUUAUACAACAAAACACAUGAAAGACACAAGAGAAGACACUAAAGAAAAUAAUACAACAAAAGGCAAACAAGAAGUACAUGGUCCUGAGAUGGCAAUGUAAAAGUUGGAUGUAUGAUAAAAAAUUUAUAGUCAUAGAGGAGUCCAUUAUGAGAUGGCUACAAAUGUGACAAGAGAAUUUUUAUCAAUAAUCCAAAAUGAAUGAGAUGUGAAAAAAGAAAUAUUAUCAUGAGAUUAAUACUCCAUCUCAAAUAAUAUGUCCUUGAAUCAACUUUUAACCCGAGCUCCAUAAAGGAAAAUGAUAAGGUGAUCAAGGUGAAAAAUGAUAAGGUGAUCAAGGUGAAUCUCUAAAAAAGGUGUAAAUGUGAAAAUAUUUCUUUCAUCUUUCUUUAAUGAACAUAAUGAGCAUAGAGGUGAAAAUGGAAUCAAGUGCAUUUAACUAGGAAUGGGGAAACAAACCCAUGAUAGGUAUAGAAUAUAAAAGGUAAGUGUGAUCAAUGAGCAUGUCUUAAAGCACCAAGCAAAGUGCAACAAUAAAUUGAUAAAGAAUGUGUUGACUUUAAAAAUAAAGAGUGAUAGAAGUCUUAAAGAAAACAUAAGCUAGACUUAGUGAACAAAAGUAAGAAGCCAACAUAAUGCAGCAAAGAGUGGGUUGACAAAUACCCAAACUUGCAUUGAUCUCUAAGCACACCAAAAAAGAUACCAAAAAAGGAGGAGUGUUGGAUCCAUGACAUGGCUAAAGUGGUACCACAAGCUUAAAUGCACCCACAUGUAGGAAGGAAUCCUAAUCAAAGGAUCUAAAGCUCAACCUACAAGGUUAAGGUGGCUUUAAAAUACGGUAGGCUAAAAAAAGAGUCCUUAGUAGAAGUAAUCAUACCCUCCCUUAGUGCUAACCUCCUACACACCUUCGAAAAGAUGGUGUGCGUCCAUGCAAGGUGGUCAUUAUCUCCACACAUGCACUACCUCACAUCCUAAGGGGCUUCCUAAUGGUUAAGACUCUACUAUUGGUUAGCACAUCUCACAACUUUCAACAAUCAACAAUGAUCUAAAGUGCACACUGGUCACACAAAUAUCCUAAAUCUAUCUCUAGGCUAUACAAGUCUUCAAAGAUCAGACUCCAAGCAACAUCAAUGUGACGACCUUUUUCAUAAUGCUCCCAAAUAUACAUAUAGCACAUCAUUAGACCCUACUAAUCACUAGCUUGAUUGGAAAACAAACAAACAUAAAAACCUCACAUAAAACAAUUGUGAGAGUAAUGAAAGAAGGAAUCAACCAAGACUAAGGAGUCAUAAAUAGGGGGAUAAAUGUGUGUUCCACUUGAAUAAGAAAAACAUAGAUCAUGCAAAAGCAAGACAGUCAUGUAACAAAUAGUCUUGUAAAGCAAAUAAAUCAUCCUUAUCUACACAUAAACUAAACAUGGAUAAGAUGAACAAGAUGAAUAUACAACAAGAAUAAUCAUGCCAAGAUGAGUGAGUUAGAACAAGGAUAAUCAAUAAUGUGAAGAUGACAAGAUAAGUGUACAACAAUGGUAAGAUGGGUAGGAUAACAAUGCAAUAAGAAUAAUGAACAUGCCAAGAUAAAUAAGACAUGUAUAUAAUAGAAAGAAACAAGUGAAAGCUCUUAAAUGAAUAAAAUACACAAGCAUGCAACAUAGAUAAUCACCAUGGAAAAGCUCUCAAUGUGCUAAUAACACAAGCAUACAAUACCAAAGCACAAAAAAAGGGUAUCCACUGAUCAACUAAUCAAACACCAUAUUUCUCUUAACUAGAGCUCUGACUUGACCCUCUUUAUUCCCUAGUGGAGUCGCCAUUUUAUGGACCCACAUUUUUCAUUUGCAUCCCCACUCAAUGGUGAAACUCGUUUUAUUAUUGUGAAAACUUGAUUUUUGAAAAAAAUUAGAGUUACAACAUUUUUUUAUUUUUUUUAUUUUUUAAAGGAAAAGAAAUAAAACCCUAACCGACUCCUUUUGAAAGGAAAAUCAUGUCUACAAAAAAUUGAAUUCAAGUAUGGGAGUCAAGUUACUUAUUGGGAAGGUACCAUAGGGUAGCACCUCUCUAAGCCUUAAAGAGGUAUUUACUAAACAAGUGGAGGGAGAUAAGGUAAUUGACAAAUAGACUAAUAGACUAAUAGAUAUUGAGAGACAACAAGAACAACAUACACCAAGGCAAUGACAAUAAUAGAUAAAAGGAUAGAACAACCAAAACAAGGCAUGAAUAUGAAACUAAUAAAUCAAGAAAGGAAGGAAACAUACUUCAAGAAGUGCGUAAAAUAGGGCAAUAUACUUACAUAGAAAAGAGGGUUCACUCACAAAAAAGAUAAGAGAUAUAAAAUCAAAAUAAGACUAUCAAUCAUGUACAAUAUAUAUAUAUAUAUACACAAUUAAAACUGAGAAGCAAGUGAUGCUUAAACAUAGAUCAAGGUGAACUAAAAUAUGCUAAACAUGUAUAGGUUUCAAAACUGGCAACCUCAAAAUAAAUGCCAAUAAAAUAGUAAAAGGGGAUAUAUCAUACAAAGGUGUGUUGAUCUAACAUGUACAAGAUGUCUAUUAUACAAAUUAAUGAUCAAAGAAGAUAAAAAACAUGCAGAAAGGAAUUGAAAUAAAACAAAUGUACAAAGUAUAGAACAAGAGGAUAGAACAUAGGUGCUUACAAAAUAAAUCAAAAAUAAAUAAUUAGAAAGAGGAUAAAAUCAUAAAAAAAAAUUGCACAACAUCCCUAGAGUGAAAACAAUAUAAUCCAAAAUUCCAUAGAGCCUAAUUAUACAACAAUUGUCUUAGAUUUAUAUGAAAAAAAAAUCAUAAUUGUAGAUUCAAAUAAGCACAACAAGCACAACAAGAUUAAAUUAAAUCUCAAGCUUGAGAAUUGAUUUUGGAGUGAAAACAAAGCUUAAUGGAUUAUUUAAGAAAUCUAGUAUAUUGGAAAAACAUAAAAGACAAUUUGAAAACCCAUGAGCUAAUUUAGAUUUACAAAAAUACUUCGGGUGUCAACAAUAGGGCAAAAUCUAGACCUUUUGAAAAACUAAUUUAAUAUAUAAGUUUGGAGAAGGAUUUUCGAUCAAAAAUAAAAAAUUGUUUGACACAUUUAAUAAUUUCAAAACAUCAUCCAGUCAUAGAAAAUAUUUUAGGGAAAACCAAAAUGGUCCAAAUUAAAUUAAACAUUUUAGGAGUCUAAAAUAGGGUAAUUGGUGGGUGGUUUUUAAGAAUCCAAAAGUAUAGGCCCUUUCCAAUACACAAAUUAAUUUUCAUGAAUUAAUCUACAUCUCUUACUCAUUGAUCAUCAUGAAGAGAAGCUUAUGAAUCCUAGAGGGUAUUAUAUUUAUUUUAGAAUUGUGAAAUUUAUCCAUGUUUACAAAAUUAAGAAAAUCUGAAAAUCAUUUGUUUAAAAAUGAGUGAUUUAGGUCAAAGAAAUGUGUCAUGGAUUAGUCCAUAGGGUGAACAUUCCUUCCUAACCCUUAAAUGAGUGUGAAAUCAGACCCAAAAAAGGCAUGGAGGGCCAAGGAACACUCAUGUAUGGAAAGGAAGGUUGGAUUUCACAAAGAAAUGGCCAUGGAUGUGGGUAUUCUUAUGUGAAAUCAUCCAUUAUGUGUGCUGAAAGAAUAAAAAUUAUUAACUAGAUGAAAAACAAUUUUCUUUGGCCUUAGACAACCAUGGGAAAGGUUUAUAGGUGUUGAGAAAGGCCUACGUAGAAAACCAUGUGAAAAUCCAUUUGAAAUUCAUGUAAAAAACACACAUUGCACACUUAAAAGGAGAGGAGUGUGUGUGUUGGAGAUCACAUAUUAAAACGAAAGGCUUUUUAGUAAGAAACAUAUGCAAUUUUCAAAUUUCACACUUAAAAGGUGUGCCCUUUAAGGAUUACAUAAAGAAAGAAUUACACUAGAAUUAGCACACUGAAAGGACACGCACAAUACUCAAAUUGCACAUUGAAGAGAAUACGUAAAACCAGAUUGUGCAUUGAAGGAAACACAUACUAGAAAUAACGCAUUGAAUGGUUACGUCCAAUACUCAAAUUGCGCAUUGAAGAGAAUGUGUAAAAUAAGAUUGUGUAUUGAUUACUACUCAAAAAGUGUUAUUUUGUAGCUUGUAAUUAACUCUUUUAAACACUUUUGAGUAGUAGUUAUUACCUUUUAACUCAAUUAACAUAUUAAGUACCUUUGCAAUCGUUUCUAAUCAAAUUGUGUUAAGUUUUGGUGUUUUUGAUAGUAAUUUGAUCACCAAAGCAAUCCAAGAUUGAGGAGAGUUCUAUGGAAUCCAUGGUAAAGCAAUUGGAAGCUCAUUUACAUGAAGAACCCAAGCUUUGAAGCUUUAUAGUCCUUUUCCAUAAGCAAAUCAUGAAUGCAAGGAGGGAAAGCAAAGAGAGAAAUCUAACAUGAAGAAUUCAAGAGGAAAGCAACUUUUGGAGCACUUCUUGGAGCUCAUUUCAUGCAUACUAAAUGUCAUUUCAAAGCUCGGGAAGUCAGCAAUCAAACGCUUCAAAUGGUACGCAAAUCAAAGUUGAAAUGAAGAAGUUAGAGCCAUUGGAAGCCAAUCACACCAAGCUAAAGGCCAAUUUCGCAGGCUGCGAAAUUACAAGGUGAUGGCUGCGAAAUCACAAGGUGAUGGCUGCGAAAUUAGCCUUUGGCUGCGAAAUGGAGACCUUCAGCUUGCGAAAUUUCGCAGCCAUCUUGCAUGCCUGCGAAAUCCUCUUGAGUGCUUCCAGAUAUUUGCGACCGACACUUUUAGAUUUUUUUCUUCAGAUAUUUGAUGUUUAAAUCCCCAUUUUCUCCUUGUAAUCAACCAAUCAUAGGAUUCCUUAGUUAUUAAGUAAGAACAAAGGGUGAAUAACCUCAUAUAUAUUUUUUGUAAUUUUCAUUACACACAUAUCUCGGGAGCUUGUUCUCAGAGACAAUUUUUUGUAUAGUUUUGAAGGAAGUAAAAUGUAGAGCUUUGCUCUACCUUACUUACUCAAUUUGAUUGUAUUUUUCUUACUAUCCAAACAAGCUCUGAGGAUGUUUCCUCAAAGAAUGAGUGGCUAGACUUUUUGUCUCUUGGAGCUAAGGUGGCUGGGUAAGGUCCCGAGUGCAAGAAUUGGUAGUUUUGUUGUUUCAGCUGUUAAUGAAGAGAAAGUGUGACCCGUUAAUGGUUUCUAUGUUUUUAGUUAACUUAAAACACCUUUAACUCACCUGGGCCAACACUUGGUAAGGCAAGUGAUCUUCGUUCAUUGAGAUGCACUAGUUUACCUCUUGCGAGCUUUUGGGAGGUGACUUGAAGGUAUGAUUUUCUAGAAUUGCCAACACUUGGUAAGAUUUUGGACUCUAAGGAGACAUCCAUUAGUUAUCUCUUGCGAGCUUGAGAAGGGAAGUCCAAGGUUAAUGAUCACCUUGAAUGGUAAAUGCUAGGUGAGAGGCACGAGCCAUUGCAAGUUACAUCAGUGAGAGAGAUUUAGCAUUUGAACUCAUUAAAGGGAAGUAUCUGUACCACACCGAUUAGAGAAUUAACUAUAUGUUAAUUCUCUAAUACGAGGAAAAGAUUCAAGUGACCGGAACUCUUUUUUUGCAUAAGGAGCCUGACCCCAGUGAUCCUAAAACUCUAAGAAACGCUUUUCUUUAUAAGUAAUUCCCAAUAUUUUAUUUUAUUUAGCUUAAAACCAAUCCUUUUUAAACCAAAGUUUAUGUUUUCUUUUGAAGCUAACCUUGAAAUGAAAAACCAUCAAUUCAACUUUGAAUUAGUAUCGGUUGUAAGUUAAAAACCCUUCCCAGUGAACGAUCCUGAGCCACUAUGCUAUAUUAGCUAAGGCUAUCCUAGUGCAUGGUGAAAUAGGUUAUAAAUUUUGUUGAUUACUCCUGUCUGAGGGCCAAACUCAAGGUACACCAGCUAGGCACGCAAUCAUGUAUAAAAGAGAAUGCAUAAAAGUAAGAUUGCACACUGAAAGGAACUAUGCAAAAUUAGAUUGUGCACUGAAGGGGGACUACACAUAAAGAGAGACUAGAAUUCACUAGUGUACAUUGAAAAAAUGGAAGAAAAUCAAAUUGUGUACUAAAGGGGUGCGCAAUUUGAAAUUGCAUACUUAAAGAGAACGUAAGAAGGCACUGAAUAAAGGAAUGCACAAUCUAAAACUACUCACUUAAAAGUGCACGGGAUACAAGUGCCAAAAAAAAAGGCACGCUUAAACAAUUGCUCAACUCAAACUAGCACACCUAAGAAGUGCACAAUUUGAAAUUGAAGGUUGGCCAUGAACAAGAAAACACGUGCACAAACUGAGUGACUCUUAGCACAUAAUGAAGGUGUGCAAUCUAGAUGAAAAACAUCAAAAAGCACACCAAAAUGCACAAUCUAAAGGCAAACACCAUAAUGUGCAUUGGAAGAUGCACAAACUAAGAAUAAGAACAUUAUAGCACACUAGCAAGUGUGCAAACUGAACGAAAAACACUCCAAUGCACAUUAAUUGGCAUGUAGACUGGAUAAAAGCCUUUGAAUGAUGCUUGAAAAACAAGUUUGAAGAAGAAUUUUAAAAUCAAAUUUGUAAAGAAAAUCAAAAUUAAAACCAUAUCGAAAUUUGUUAGGAACUCUGAAUUACUCCAUUCCCAUGCCCUAAAUCGUGUAGGGUGCAUGCAAAUCUAUCAUAGUCUCUCUAAAUGUAUUGUAAUAGAUAAAAAAAAUAUUCAAAAACAAUAUGGAUACCAUAGAAAACAUAGAUCUAGAGAAUAAAGUCAUAUACCUUUGAUUCGGAUGUUCCCGGAUCAAUUCCAAUCGAUGUAGAUAACACCAAAGUCAUAAUGGAUCUCAUAAACACCAUGAUCUUCUGCCCAAUGACUCUUCCUUGUGCCUAGGCACUAAGAUGGUGGAGACUAGGGUUCUCUCUCUAGACUGAUGGAGAGAAUGAAAAGACUUGGAAACCCUAACCCCUAAAAGGGUAUUUAUAGGCUUCUUAUUGGGCUUAAGAGACUUAAGCCCACCAUAGGCUUGGGUCACUUAAUCUAUCCUAAAAAUGUUGUUAAUUGAUUAAUUAACCAUACCAGGCCAUAAUUAAUCAAUUAGCCUAAUCUAGGCAUACCACUCACUUAUCCUCAUGCAACCUUGCAUAAUUACCAAAAUACCCUUAUGCACAAAAGUGAACUAAGAACCCAUCCAACCCUCAUAAACUGUGUCAUCAAGGAAUAUGAGCUCAAAUUGAGGACCACUAGGACCCAUAGGAGUAUUGGCUUCCUCGAAAUCAAAUUUUGAAAUGGACUCAACAUCCUACUACAAAAAGCCAAGUACACUCCAACACCCUAUGUAUAUUACAACGAGACACCAUGUGCUCAAGUCUAUGACCUACUAUCUACUACAUGCAGACUUCCCAUGAACCGGUGUUUGUAAUCUAAUAAGGUAGUGCUAUCACCUAUCAAGAUUACCUUUCCAAUCCUUAAGUUGGAUAUCUCACUUAUUAUGUGAUCAAUUGACAUACUCCAACUCCAAGGAGCAUAUGUCAAAUUCCACUAAAUGAAUUAUUAUGGCCAUAGAUUUCGUGAUCAUAUGUCCUUUGGAUCACUCAAGGGGACACACUGUCUCAAUCUUAUGAGAUAUCAUGCUGCCUCUAUUGAGAAUACCUGUUGCCACUAGCUUCCAUCAACAAGAACCCAGUCCAUAGGGAUAUAUGACCACUUUAGGGUCUCACCCAUAGGUUAAAGUCUUCUGUUGAUUUUGGCAUAAGCUCAAUAUCCUUUCAAGGUUAAGAGUCCAUGCACUAUAGUAGCAUGGUGAAUCAUGACAAUUGAUAACCUUGCAUCAUGAUUCACCGUAGGUCCUGUCUAGUGUGCAUCACAUACACUAGUGCACUCACCAUGGAAAGCAUAUCCCAAUGGCCAAGAUAAGCCAUCCCUCAAAUUAGGAGGUGGUGCACUACAGUCUUUACUGGAUUGCCCAAAUCCAUGGACCAACUAUGGACAGUUAUCUACUUACAAGGAACCCAUGACUUGUAUCUUUUGUGAAAUUCCUAAUGCACCCAAGUCAUUUACAAAGAAAAAGAUGUGGACUAAAUGCUCAAAUCAAUGUCAACACACCAACGGGAUAGUAAGGGGAUAGUUAAGUUUAACUUUGCUACAUGAUGUCUUAUUUUUAGGGGCUUAAUCGCAACAAAGUCACCAAAAUGAGAUUAAAGAAAAACAAAAUAGAAAACUAAAUCAAGCAAAGCCUUAUUUCAUAAAUCAUCAAUGGACUUGACAACAAGUGAAAAAUCCAAAAGAAUUUUAAACCAAGUCGAAAAAAACUUCUAGACCAUUACACAAUAAAGUGAAUCAUUAAUUAAAACAAUUUUUAAGUAAUCUCAUUGAAUCCAAAGAUGAACAACAAAAGAAAAAAACAUGUAUUACAAAUAAGAAUCAACAAUCUAAUGUGUGACCUCCAAUAUCCACACCCAACCAACAAACAAUCUCUAGAAUCAGCAUAAGGAAGGAGAAGAACAACAAAUGAUAAUGAAAACAUGAAAUCAAAGUGAUCUUACCAAGAAUUCUCUCCUUAAGCAAGUGUUGAUCAGCUUCUAGUAUUUUUUUUUUCUUAUCCUUUAAGCAAGAAGAUCUUCUAAAUUCAUUAAAGUUCUUUCUCCAUAUAAAAAGAAAAUGGUAGAGUAUUCCUCCCAAAUGUAAGAGAGUCCCCUUCCAUUUAUCCUUCCAUAAUCUUCUUUCUUGCCAAAUGAGUCUUCCAAGACUUCUUUUAUAGAGUAAGGGAUAGGGAAGGUUUGGCCACUUGUGCUCAUCUCCUUCUAUGGUCACACUCUUUUAAAACCCCUAAAAAAUACUUCCCUAAAUCAAUCUCAAACUCCUCUAAAAAGUAAAGCAAAAACUUGAGACUAAAGCCCACAAAAAAAAAAAAAAAAAAAAACACAUAAACCAAGCCUAGGGGCUACUAAAAUCUCAUUGCGAAUUUAGAAACUCCUUCUAAAAGGCCUUAAAAAGUCCCAAGAGUCAGUGACAAACUAAAUGGUGGGUGAACCACACCACAGGGCGCAAUGAAUGACUAAAUAAAAGAGAAUCCUAAGCGCAUACUAGAAGGGAGUGGAAGACGGGGGAAACAAGUAUGAAAUAACAUGUGCUAUGAGGACAAAAUUGAGGGUCUACAACCAAAAGUAGACUAGCAUUACAAAAAGAAUCAACUUAAUUGGUUGGGAAUAGGUUCAACUAGUCACCCUUUCCUAGUCGCGGUCCAAUCUAGUUUGCAUAAAACUUUAUUAUUAUUUUUUAGAUAUCAUGUGUUCUCGGUUAAGGCAAACCCAUACCUAGUCAAGGCCUAAUCGAACCUCAAAAAGAACAAAAGUCACUUGUUAUAAAUUUAUUACCUAACGACUAGUUAACCGAUAAAAAAGAAGCUCAACUAAGAAAGGUUAGCUUUCUGCUUUUUGGGUGUUUGAGGUUGAAAACCUAUAAAAAAAGAGCUUUCAUUCAUUUGUACCAAGAUAAUUAUUGCAUUGAAUUCCCUAUCUACCAUUUUCUUUCAUUCAAAGUUCUCAACUCCUUAUGCAUUAUUCUUUCACUUGCAAAUCAUCCUUAGUGCAGCUUCUAUGUUCAUCCUAACUUUUUGUGUAUUCAAGCAUUUAUUGUGCUAGAUGGAGUGUUAUUAAACCUUCAUAUAUUUGAGUAAGGUUGACCAUUGAAGUUUCAAGUUGGUGUUAAACUGAAGGAGAUUUGUGUACAUGCCCAUUAGAACCCUCACUUGGAAAGGGGUUGAGGAGAAGUGAAUUGAAGCGAAAAUUGCCUAAUAACUAUAAAAGCUGAGUUUGUAUCACUUUAACUCUAUCUUCUUCCAUUCAUUGAACUAUUAUUUGUGUAAUUAAAGGUUUUCUUUCUUUAAUGUUUUUUAAACCCAAUUUGCCUCACCCGCCCCCCCUUCUCUUGGGUAUUUUACUUAAUUGUUUCAUAGAAUGCCCUUGAAAAUGCCUAGAACAAGGGCAACAAGCUUACAUAAGAAAAAAUUAAUUAAUUUAUUAAUAAAAGAAGAUAUUUAUCAUGAAAUCAAGGAUCGCCCAACAUGUACAAGAAGUUUGUAACUUAAAUCAAAUGUCAAAAGUAGCUUAGCUAGCAUCAAAUGGGACUAAUUCAACAAGAUAUACAAAGUGUGAAAAACCAAGACAACAUGCUAAUGUGUGAAAGCUUGUAUUUAAGAAGAUUCAAGAUGAAAUAAAAAUCAAGGCAAAAAUUAUCUAACAUAUAAAAGAUUGUUAGGACAUUGAGUCUUGUUUAUAUGUUAGCAAUUUUGAAUAAAUUUAUGUUUAACCAUGGAAGUUUUUUUAAAUAGUGACUUACUUUCCAUUGAAAAUCAAGGGUUGUUAUUCGUUCAACUUGGAAGUCACAGGUAUGUCUAAAAAGGUUUGGCUUGUGGCAUAUAAAGGCUUAUUUGAGGUAUAAAAUGCUCAGUAUCAUUUUUUAGCUUAAAAUGUUUUAAAAUUGAUUUCUCAAAAAACAAGGGACACUCAAGCAGUUCAUCCCACUCAAGUGGUUAGAGCGUUGAAGCGGUCUAAGUUUGCUCAAACAGUCAUGAUAGUCCCACCAAGUUUAGAAACAUAUUUUGAAUGAAUUUCAAUCCAACUGUAAUUUGGAAACUUGUGAUAGUAAAAUCCUUAUGGCUUUUGCCUAUAAAUACCAGCCUUGUAACCCUUUGAGGGUUAGAGAAUCAGGUUAAGAGAUUAGAGAUUGUAGAGAUCUAAUUUUUAGAGACCUCUCAUUCUUUAGAGGUACUCUUUGAGAGGAAAGAAUAAUUAACCUAAUAUCUUGCAAGGCUAUUCUAAAAGGUUUAUAUUUAUAUUUGUUCCUGCAUAUAUUCUGGUUGAAGAUAGUGAAUAAAUUUGAUUGAUUGGUUAAUUGGUUAUUAAGUUUGUUGAUUUGGUAAUCUUGUGGUGGUUAUACCUAGAAUCAAUUAUUGAUUUGUUGGGAUUAUUUUUGAGUUUGUUAGGUUGGUUAUUCUUGUGGUUAUUAUCCCUAACAUUCUUCAACCAAUAUUGUUAAUAUUUGGAUAUCAAUUAACCAUAAAAAUCAUAUUUUUAUUUUUAAUAUCCAAGUUAUCCUUAUAAUAUCUUGGAUAAGAAAAGCGAUCAUAAUUUACAAAUAUUGAUUUAAAAAUUUAAAAUCACUCAUUCAUCUCUCCUUUAGGUGUUCCUUAUUGGACUUUUGAUUAUUCAAAGUGUAUUCAGAGCAAUACCCAUAUUUUUUCAAAGAUGUCUUAAAAAAUUUCAAAAGUCAAAGGAACCCAAAUAAACACUAACUAAUACAAAUUUCAAUAAACAUUUCAUAACUCAAAAAUAGGACAAUAUACAAACACAUAAAAGAUUGAUUUAUUCCAUAAGCAUAACAAAUAAUUUUUUAACAAGGCCAAAUGUCUAGAUAAAAUUACAAGUCUUAAAAAAAAAAAAAAAAUGAAUGAAUUGGGAUUGAUUCACAAAAGCAUUUAGUUGCUCCAAAAUAGGGCAACAAACAAGCAAUUGAGAGAAAUGAAUUAUUUAAAAAGCUUGGGAAAGAGUUUUCCAAUAAGGCAAAAAAUCUUUAACACAUUCAAGAUUUCAAAAUCCAUUUGAAGCUUCAAAAAUAAUUUAGAGCAUGUCAAAUGGCCUAGAUUUACAAAUAUAUUUUGGGACUAAAAAAUAGGGCAACAAGUAAUCGACACUUACAAACAAUAUAUGCAAGCUUAAACAUAAACCUAAAUUUUUAUGCAUAGACAAUCCAACAUUUCAACCCCUUAAUAAGCAUGACAAGAGCUUAUAAGGGCUAAUAAUAAUCUUAUUCAUCUUAGGUUUCAUGGAUAGUUCAUGUCUCCAAAAUAAAGAAAAAUUGAAAAUCAAAUGUUUAGAAAAUUGAGUGAUGUUGGCCAAGGGCAUAGGUCAUAGUUCAACUAUAAGGCUCUCUCACAUUCUCAGCCCCCAAAUGAACAUGAAAUUAAGUUCAUAAAAGGCAUGGAAUGCCAAAUUAUACUCAGAUUUGGAAAAAAAAAAAUUGUUGAAAUGCACAUAAAAGUAGAUUAUAAGGGUAUGUGUUUUCAUGUAAAUUCAAGUUAUUUAUGUCAAGGAACGUGGCUGUCAUUAAUAACCAUAAAUUAGCCACAAAUUCAAGUCCCUAAUGAUCAUAGAAGUAUAUUCACAAGGGUUGAAAAAUGACUUUCAGUGCUCCACAAUAGUUCCUUGGUGGCCCAUUGCUACUCACACUAUUUACCUUUUUUUUAGCCACCUUAGAGACUCUGGUUGAGGGAUUUAUCUAACCCCAUUGUGACUUUUAGCAACCCUAAUUUAGACUUAGGCUUUUCCUUCCUUUUUAGGAUAGCUUUUAGGUGCACUAUUAAGAUAGUACACUUAGGCAUGUUUAGGUCACUUAGACAAUGUCCUGAUCACUAUAGGUCACUUAGACACUAUCCUAAACCACCUAGGCCCAUUAAGACACAUUAGGCUUACCUAGGUCACUUAGGCUCACUUAGGCACACUUGGCCCAUUAGACAUUUUUAGCAUGACUUGUAUGAGUUGCAUGGUUGCAUGGCUUGUGUGGCUCAGUUAUUUAUUUAUUUAUUUUUAUUUUUAUUUUUAUUUUUAUUUUUAUUUUUAUCAUUAUCAAUCACUUGUUUAUUUUUAUUUGUUAACUUCCUUUUUAUAUUAUUUUUCUUAUUUUUUUAAUUAACUUAUUUAUUUAUUAUUGUUUUAUCGUUUUCUAACUUAUUUACUUAUUUAUUCAUUCAUUCAAUUAUUUAAUUUAAUAAAUUUCAUGCUUUUGCAAGGAAACUUACCAUUGGAGUUUAAGAAAUGUGGGACUCUCCUUGGAAGACGUUUUAGGGGAGUUUUAAAUUUUGAGGAUUUGUUUUGGUGCGGAAGAUAUGGAGAUGGCAUGGGAGUCUAAGGAAAGUGAGACUCUCCUUGGAAGGCAUUUUUGGAAAGUUUGAAAUUCUAAGGAUUUGUUUUGGUAAGGAAGAUAUGGAUAUCGGGAGUUUAAUUAGACUCCUUGAGAAUAAUUGAGAGUCCACAACUACAUGUAUUUUUUAAUAUAAAAAGGAGAAUUUGAACUGAAAUGGGAUUUUUGGAUGGGAAGAUUGGAAAAAAAAGAAAAGAAAAACGGGAGACUAUUAUUGGAGAAUGGAUUCACGGAUGAGAGGAAUUCUUUUAGACAUCAUGUCAUUAAUGGAAUUAUGUGCGCCGCCUUCAAAAGGGAGAACCACCCUUGGAAAGGAGAGGUUGCCACUUAAAAUCCACAAGACGUUUACAUUGAAGGAACACGUACAGCCCACAUAAAAGAACACGCACCAUAAGUUUACAAAAUCGACCACACUGCCAAAUUUUUGGAGCAAACAACCAGCAGGCAUUCUGGACAUGUUCCAUGGAGAUUGGGGAAGAAACAGCUGCACCAUCAAUAUAGAGAAGAGGGCUACCACUUUGAGUCUUCAUUACGCAUCAGAUUUUGAUCCAAAGAGAAUCAUUCACAACCCGGAAAGAAUAUACGGACACAUGAUAUGUGUGGGAUUUUCCAUAGGUUGCAGGCACCAUCUUGGGGAGAGCUUUUUUUCUGGAGAGAACAUGCCUACAUAGCCCAUGCACAGCCUGCACCUCUUCACAACUGUCAUCCAUGAUCAAAGUCACAGCCGGCUCCAAGCACCAUUGCUCCAUACAGACGCAGCCGUCAUGCUCCGUCCAUUGAGUGGCGAUCACUCCACCACGCACCAUGAGAGGCAUCAAUUGAUGGGGCAUCAAAGCUGAUCCCUUAGGAGUCACUAGAUUUUAUUAAGACUUUGUUGGCUGCGGUUUUGGAGAUCACAUAGCUGCAUAUUUAGAAGAUGCAACAGACUGCCGUGGCAAGACGCAUAGGAAGGAAAGGUGAUGUCCAGAGAAUGAGGAGAAUAAUCACACUACCAACAAUGCAUUACUGUCAUUUGGUGCAUUCCUCGAACCCAAAACCCUCUCUCAAUUCCAAACGCGUUUGGGAUUCACUGUUUCUGCAAGUCUCGAUGCAUUUCGGUUUAUUAAAGGUCAUCCUUCCGUCCAAUUGCACCCCGAGAUUGACCGACAGUGGAGUGCACGUUUUGGAGCCCUUGUAAUCAGAAGAUAGAUGGGACCCCUGCCACUUAAUGAUGACGCACUCCGGAUUGGACCCCAAGCCCACUCUCGCAUGGCUUGCAUGGCCACCCCUUUUGUACAUUAUUUUAAAGCCCGCAUGACUCAGUCCUUAAUUCUUCUUGCAUGUUUUCCAAAAUGGAUUUUCAAAGAUCCAUUCUUUUUCAAUUUUCUGGUGAAAUAUUAGACAGUUGUAGUGAGGACUAUCUCCCAAAUUUUUACCAAGUUAGUGAAAGAUCUCCUGGAAAUGAUUGUAUACCAGUCGGCCGGGUUGGAAUUUUUGAAUUCAUCUAGACAGUACAAACUGAUUCUGGCUAGCCCAUGCAGCCUUUUGAGUUUGUGGAAAUGGCAGCGUACAUGAAGAACAGAUGGCAACAUGCUUGCCUCUCGCAUUGAAGCUUUCACCAUCUAUUGCAGCGACGGAGCACAUAUCCUCAAAGCAUUCACUUGGGAAAAGCUAUUGGAUUCCAUAAUCCCUCUAGAUCGUUCUCUCUUCUAGCCGACUUUAGCCAGAACCAAAUGCAAUCUGGUUAUCUUUUCCAGAGCCAUCAUGAGGGAACUGGCUUCAGAGUUUCUGGAACUCUUCAUCCCUCACCGGAAAUCACCAAAACUUUGAACAACAGGGAGUCCCGGAAAGUGCCAAAAGAGAGCAGAAUGUAGUUAGGAAUUCAACACCAGCAAGACAGUCUCAGUCAGGUCUCCAGGCUCCACCCAUACAGUUGCCAACUUGGUGCACACCAUCCUCCUCUUAUUACUUCUUUUCUUUCCUGUGAACUUACACAUUUUUAAUCUGGAUUUCAAAAUCUUUCCCAUUAAAUAACUCCAGUUUUCUUUAAAAUUCCAUCCGUAGGAGUUCAUAGAUAUUGAAAUCCAGAUUUCAACAAAUCAUUGUUGCCACCUUCCUUCAAGCAUGCAUUUUCACUAUUUUCUUUGAUUUUUAAUUAUUUUCAUAAUUUUGUUGAUUUUUAACCAGCAUGAACAAACUUCAUGGUGCCAAAUAAUGGAAUUCAUUGAACCAACUCAUGCAAAAUUAAUUUGGGGAAUUGGUGGAACCCCUACAUAAAAUCAAUUUUUUCAAAACUCUUCCUUGCUGCAUGUUUUCACUCAACCACUGACCCUUUAUCUUUAAAAUUCGUUUUAGCAACUUCAGAAUAUUUUUAAAAAAUUUAUAAAACUUGUAUGAUUUUCUUCACUUCUUGAACUUGAAUUUAAAAUUUUGUUUGAGUUAGAAAGCAAUUUUGGAAUAGAAUAUAUAAAUGAGUUUUUAGGAGAGCUCUGUUUUCACCCAAUUCUGGACACAUGAAAUAUUUUUGUAACAAUAAAAUAAUAGAUGAAUUUUUAAAUUUGAUUCAAUAUUUUUUCUUAAUUCUAGAAUUCCUUAAAUUGAUCUCAGGCAUAUAAAAUAUUAAAAAAUAUGCAUUUUUGGGACAGAUAUGAUUUUUCAAAAUCAUACCUACUAUGCAUGAUGGAAUUUAGACAUCUGAUUAGUUAGAGUGUUUUAAAAAUAUUUUUAAGUACUCCCCGACCCUGGAUUUAUUUUUCCUAUGAUAUAGACACUUUGAACGAUGUGUGUGAUUUUUUGUACAACUUUAUGUCAUCUCUUAUUAUUUUUAAGAAUUUUUUUUAUGCAUGCUACCCUUUUUUUACCUAAUAUGGACUUUGUAGAAAUUUUGGGGUGUCUUUGCUGCAAUUUGUCCUUUGAAUGAGUGUUCGGUUUUUAGUAUGUUGAUUUAGAUUUGUAGGAUUUGUUUCCUGAAAUUUUUUGUAAUUAAAUUCCACUCCAAGAUAUUUUUUUAUAAAUUGUUUUGUGAUGCUCCCUUUUCUAAUUGCAUGAUGAUGACCUUGUACUUUGCUUGAAUUUGUUAUCUGUUUUUGGAGUUAUUUGACUUAUCUUGGCUCAAUUUUGACUUUGAUACUGUAUAUUAGACAUAAUGAAUAUGUUAUAGGAUUUAUACUUGUCCUAACCACUCUAGCAAUUUUGGGGAAUCUUAUAAAUUAUGCAUGCUAUCCAGGUACACUCUCUAUCACUUACUUUUCGGAAUUUUAUGAACAUGCAUGUUGUUGUGAGCCUUAUCCAUGUUUGAUUCCAUCUUUAGGUGCCUAGAUGUCUGUUCGAUUGGCUCUGAUUAAAUACAUGUCGUGUAUUAUAUUUUUGUGCUAACUUUAAUGUCUUAUGAUAGCGCUUGAGAGGCAGUCCAAGUACAUAUCCUAACAUUUCUUUGUGAUUGUGAUUUGAUCUCUUUUUUGGCAUGCUAGUUUUGAAAUCACCUUAGUCUACUAGGUACCUUCAAUCAAUUGAUUAAUUGCCACUUUUCCCUCAACUUAGUCAUUAUAGACCUCUUUAGGGCUUAGAGGGGUGCUACCUCUUAGAGGUACCUUCCCAAUAGGUAACCUGAUCCUCGGACCAAGACUCGGGUUUUUCAAGCCUUGUUUUCCAAAAACUAUUGAGUCACUUCUUUAGGGUUUUCUUUCUUGUUUUAUUUUCCAUUUUAAAAUAAAAUAAAAUAAGUGGCGACUCCAACUUUUCCAAAACUAAUUUUUCACCAAUAAAAAUAAGUCUCACUGAUUGAGUGAGAACACACAUGAAAAAUGCGGGUCCACAAAUUGGUUUUAAAAAUACUUGAAAAAUUAUAAAAUUGAGAGAAACUACUUAUAUUUUCAAGCAAAAUAGUAAGACUAAAGUCCAUGUCUAUGGACCUAAACUUUGGCCAUGAGAUUGACCAUCAAGGUGAGUUUGAAAUUCCAUUAAAAAAAUUAUUGAAAUAAGAGUUAAUAAUCAAUUUUGAGAAGAAAACAAAAAACCAAAAGCAACUUUAUAGAUUUUUUUCUAGGAAGAAAAUAUUUUGGCAAAACAUCAAACACAUGUGGUUCUCUAUUUUUCUUUUCAAAAUUAGUAAAAACUACUUCCAAAAGUAUUAAAACAAAGGAAAAUCAAAAUCCCCAAAGGAUGAACAAAAGAAAACCCAUAGGUUACAAAGUAAGACACCCAUAUCAUGUUCUGAAAAUCAAUAAGCUCCAAAAAGAAAAUAUGCCCAAGAAAUGAAUAAAUUAAAGCUAGUCAAGGUAUAAAGAAUAUCCAAACAUCAAUUAAAGUAAAUAAACAAGCAUCUAAUAAGCAUCUAGACUAAAAAAAAAAUGAAGAAAAUCAUAUUAGACACAAAAAAUGAAGAAAAAAAUACCCAAAAUCAUUCAUAUGAUCUUCCAAUAUUCACAACCCAUAUGACCAUCAUCUAAAGAAUCAAUAAAAAAAUAAAAUAAAAACUAAAACAAAAAAAAAAAUCAAAAUUAAGAACUUACGAAAGAAACUCCUCCUAAGUCUAAUACUUGGCUUCUAGUAUGGAUAAAUCUUCUUCCCCAAGCCAAUUUCACCUCCAAACUUCCAAUAUUAUUUUUUACCUUUUUUAUUUUUUAUUUUCUCAAAUUAGAUAGAGUUUUCCCUUAGAUAUCAAAGAUAUACCCUAAAAGUGUGCUCCAAGGCUCAUAUUUAUAAGUUAAGGGAGGGUAGAGAUUUUAACUCAUGUCAUCAUCUCCACUAAAACCAUGAAAGAUUUUUUUUUUUUUUUUGGAGAAACUUAUAUUUUAUUGCUCUAAUCUUUAGAACAUGGGCUACAUCUAUUUAAAUAACUAGCAAUUAGAUAAUUCCUAUGCUAAAAACAAGGACACAGAAAAAUAAAUUUGAUUAUAAUCUUAAUCUGAAUAAAAAUUUGACUAUGUACAAAAAAACUAGAAUUCAAAUAAUUCCUCAAAUCAAGGAAUCUAUCCAUUCUAAAAUUCUGAGUCCAAUUUGAACCGGUCUAAUCAAACUAACUUUCCAACACUCCCCCUCAAGUAAGGGCAUAAAUGUCUAUCAUACCCAACUUAUCCACAUUAUCUUUAAAGUCUUAUCUCAUAAUCCUUUUAGUUAAAACAAUUGCAAUUUGGCUUUUGGACGACAAAUAUGCAUAUUUCCCCUUGCUCAAAUUUUUCCCUAAUGAAAUGUCAGUCCACCUCCACAUGUUUUGUUCGAUCAUGGUGGACUAGAUUGUGGAAGAUGCUUAUAGCUGCCUUGUUGCCAGAAUACAUCAUAGUUUGAGGAUGAAUUGUAAUCUUUAGUUCUUCUAAUACUCUCUUGAUCCAUAAGACUUCACAAAUUCCAUGAGCUAUUGAUCUAAACUUAGCUUCAACACUACUUCUUGCCACCAUAUUUUGUUUUUUGCAUCUCCACUUGAUGAGAUUUCCAAACACAAAUGUACAAUAGCCAGAUGUUGACCUCUUAUCUUCUAUAGACCCUGCCCUAUCUACAUCCAUGAAGACUUCUUUCUUUAAUUGAUCAUGCUUUCCAAAGUGAAGUUCUUUUCCUAAGGUUCCUUUGAGAUAAUGUAGUAUUUUUAUAGACAACAUUCAUGUGUGUUUCAUAUGUAGAAUACAUGUACUAACUAAUUAUACUUACUUCAAAACCAAUAUUUGACUAAGUGUGAGGAAGGCAGAUGAGUUUACCAACUAGUCGUUGGUAUCUUCCUUUGUCAAUUGGAUCCUCUUUUUUUAACUGAAUCUAUCUUGUGUCUUGAAUCAAUCGGAAUGUCAUCAGGCUUGCAACCAAGCUUCCCUGUUUCAUUGAGUAACUCUAAAGUGUACUUUAUUAAUAAAUAGAGAUUCAAUUUUUAUUUAUGACAAUCUCCAUCCCUAGAAAAUACUUUAGUGUGCCAAGGUCUUUCACCUCAAUUCCUUAACUAGGAUCUUCUCAAAGCGUCAAUUUCUACAUGAUCAUUACUUGUUAAAAUCUUAUCAUCAACAUAAACUAUGAUAAAAAUUACUUUACCCUCAUUAGUAGAUUAGUAAAACAUGGUAUGAUAUGAAUGUCCAUGAAGAUAGCCAUAAUGUUUUACUACUCUAGAGAGUCUUUCAAACCAUAAACUUUAUUGGAACUUCUUUUUUCAAGUCCUGGUGGUACAUCCAUGUAAAACACCUCUUCUAAUUCCCAAUUAAAAAAAGAAUUUUUUAUGUCCAAGUGUUGAAUGGGCCAAUCAUAGUUUGUAGCUAGAGAGAAGAAUUCAGAUUAUGUUUGGUUUUUCCACCGGUGCAAAAGUCUCUUGGUAAUCUAUCUCGUAAGUCUGAGUAAAUCCUUUAGUAAACAAUCUUGCCUUAUAUCGUUCCAGCAGGCUAUUAGAUUUUUAUUUUAUUGAAAAUACCUAUUUACAUGCCACAAUUCUUUUAGCUUUUAGUUGGGUAACAAGUUCCCAUGUUCCAUUUUUUUUUUCAAAGCUUUGACUUCCUCCACAACUAGUGUUAUCCAUUUUGGAUCACCAAAUGCCUAUGCAUUUUUUGGAACUUCUAUGGAAGAAAUGUGAGAGACAAAAACAGAAAAAAUAUGAGGAUAAUCUAUGAUAAGAGACAAAAUUAGAUAUGAGAUGAAUGGUACAACAUCUAACACCUUUCCUAAGUGCUAUCUAGAUAUCUAAGCCACUAAGCACUAGGUCUACAAAAAGUGAAGAAUGUGAGGAGGAUGACGAAUUGUCCAAACCUGAUUCAAGAAUUAUCUCUCGUGUGGUUUCACGGCAAGGCGUGAGUAUAUUAGGUGCUAUACACUUCCUUGAGUAGACUUUGAACUAUGGUGUAGACUGGGUUGUUGGUGGCAAUGCUUUAUCUCCCCCUACAUUUGGCAAUUUGUCAUGUAUUGGAAAUAUUGUUGGGUUGAACUAAAUGGAAAAAAUGGAUGGAGAGAUUUAAGUGGACAUCUGAAUAGUUGAUAGGAGUCUGGAUUGGUUGCUAGUAGUGUAAGAACUAGAAAAGAAGAUUGUGGAAUUUCCCAUGACGAAGCUUCACUAGAAUUUUCCCUCUAAAGCGAAGUGUAAUAGGGUUGUUGUUCAAAGAAGGUUACAUCUUUAGAGAUGUACAUUUUUCAAUUAACAUGAUCAAAACAUCUAUAUCUUUUUUUAGUUGUUGCAUAUCCUAAAAAUAAUCAUUUUAUAACCCUAAGAUCAAGUUUACCACGAUUAUGUUAAUGAACAUGUAAAAAAGUAGUACAUUCAAAAAUUUUAAUUGGUAAAUCUUGGAAAAUUUGAGAAUAUGGGAAUGAAGCAAGCAAAACAACACUGCUAGUUUUAAAAUUAAGAACUUUCGAGGACAUCCUAUUGAUCAAAUAUGAUGUUGUAAGAAUGGUGUCCCCCUAGUGUAUUUUUCUAACAUUCAUUAAAAAUAAUAAGGAUCGAGCAACUUCUAAGAGGUGCUUAUUCUUCCUUUCGGAAACUCCAUUUUAUUGUAGAGUAUCUACACAUGAAUUUUGAUGAAUAAUCCCAAUAGUUGAUAAAAAAUCUUCAAGAACAACAUUUAUAUAUUCACUACCAUUGUCGGUUUUAAGAAUUUUAAUGAACGUUUGAAAUUGGUUUUAUAUCACUAAGUAGAAAUUUUUGAAGGUUUGAAAGACUUCGAAUUUUUCUUUAAGACGGUAAACCUAGCAAAUUCUUGAAUAAUCAUCGAUGAAGGUAAGGAACCAUUUUCUACUAGUUAGAUUUGUUGCUCAAGAUGGUCCCUAAAGAUCAUUAUGUAUGAGAAUAAAAGAUUUAAAGGGCCUAUAAGGUUUAGUAGGAAAUACUAAUACUGUAUGCUUUACCAUUUGAUACACUUCACAUUGAAAAUGGGACAACCUUUUAUUUUUAAAGAGUUUGGAAACAAGAACCAAAGAUACAGAAAGCUAGGGUGCCCUAAUCUAUAGUGCCAUGACAUUAUUUCAUGAUAUAAAAGAAAAUGUAAAACAUUUUUACCAACAAUAGCAUCUUAUCCUUUCACAACUUCACGGUCAUCAAAGUGGUAUAAACCUUCACACUCACAUGCAUUGCCAAUCGUCCUCCCCGAAGCUAAGUCCUGAAAAACAAUAACAAUAGAAGAAACUUUAGAUACACAAUUGAGAUCUUUAGUGAGUUUACUAAUGGACAAUAAAUUACAUGAUAAAUUUAGGAUAUGUAAGACUGAUUCAAGAAAAAUAGUUUUUGUUAGGGAGAUGGUUCCUUUUCUAGCAACUGGGGUAUACAACUCAUUCACAAUUUGGAAUUUCAUAUUAUCGACACGUGGUACAUAUGUUGUAAAGGAAGUGAAUGACCUUGUCAUGUGAUCUGUAGCUUUGGAAUCGAUGAUAUAAGGUUUAUAAGAAUUGGCUAACACACUAAAUGGGUAUUGAGUUCUACUUGAUAGUGUUAGAGAGCAAGAUGGCAAGGGAUUGACAUUUGGUGAACCUAAGAUAGAAGUGGAUGCGGUUUGUGGAUUAAUGAGAUGUUGCAAGACCUUUAACUACUCCUUGGUGAAUGGUGAAGUGGUUGUUUGGCUGUGAGGGUUCUCAUAUUCACUAUAGUAGGCUUUAGAAUUGUGGUUGGGUCUUAGGUUUCUCCUAGUAGGCAACUUCUUGUGGAUCUUCCAGGAUGUAUAUCUUAUGUGGCCUUGUUUUUUAUAGUAGUCACACUAAGAACAAUCACCAUUUUUUCCUGGUCAUUGGUCGUUUGGUUGAAAAGUCUCCCCACCAUGAAUAACCAGGGCAAAGUCUCAAAUUGGCUAGAUUGUUGUUUUCCCAACAUUACUUUGUACCUACUCUCUUCCCAUCGUACCUUAAAGAAAGAUCUCCCUUAUAGAUGGAAAUGACUAUUUUCCUAGGCUUCAACCUCAAACCUCAUCAAAUUCCUUGUUGCGUCUUACCAAAAAGUCAAAUGCCCUUUCUUUUAUGAGAAUCUUGCAAUAAUGGGCAUUGUCUUCACAAUAUUUCCAUUCCAUAUUAGAGAAUAAAUCAUGGUCUUGCCAUGCAUUUUAAAGGAUAUUAUAGUAUUGUGUAACAUUAUAACUACUUUAUUUGAUAUCUUCAACUUAGUUUAAAUUUCAAACAUUUGAGUAGCAUUACCUAAAUCUAAAUAAUUCUCUUGGACUGCAUCCUAAAGGUCCUUGGCGGGUAGAAAGAAAGAGGUAAGUAUGCCCAAUAGCUACCUCCAUGGAGUUGAUUAACCAGGCCAUUACCAUGUAGUUCUUAGAAUCCUAGGUUUGGUACGCAUGAUCUUCCAACUUAGGUGCUUUGUUGGCACUUGUGAGAUAGCCUAACUUUCCUUUUCCUCAUAUGAACAGUUUCACCAAUUGCGAUCAUUGGAGAAAAUUACAUUCAUUUAAUUUAUGUAUCGUAAUUUACAGGGUUGGAUUUUCUAUACCGCUUGGAUUUGUUGUUGGAAUUUGUAUUGUGAAGUCCCAGGUGAGGCAUUAGAUUCCUCCCUGUGAGUUGCACUAGUCAUAGCAGUCUUCACUAUCCUUCUACUUUUUUUUUUUCUUCUCUGGCUCUAAUACCAUGAAACCAUGAUAGGGUUUUUUUUUUUUUGGAUAAAGUUAUAUUUAUUGCUCUAAUCUUCAAAACAUGGGCUACAUCCUUUUAGAUAACAAGAAAAUAGAUAAUUCCUAUGCUAAAAAAAAAGAGAUGGAAAAAAAAAUCUGAUUCAAAUAAUUCCUCAAAUCAAGGAACCUAUCCAUUAUAAAAUUUUGAGUCCAAUUUGAACUAGUCUAACCAAACUAACUUUCCAACAUCCAACUAAGUUGAAAUUAUCUUUAAAACCCUUGAAAAUUAAAACCCAAAUAAAUAGACUCAAAACCUUAGGUUUUUAGGCCCACAAACCCCCUAAAACCAGCCUAAGAGCUAAAAAAAGGGUAAAAAAGUUUGACAAAGAAAUAAGAAUAAAAAAGGAUCAAAAUAAGGAACUUUUUAGCAAUUGGUUGAGCUGGUACCUCAAUCUACUAAAUUAGUUCCCUAGACUGGUUGAACUUACUAAACCAGUUUCCUAAACUAUUUGAAUCGAUGAAACUAAUUAAGGCAAAAAAGGGCUCGAUUCUUACUGAUGAAGCUCUAUUUGAACUCCAAACAUACUGAAACUUUAGAGACUCCUAGGGUGACACUAAAGUCAUAUUGUGGAUCCAAAACUAUAUCUAAAAAGUCUUUCAAAGUGGCUCAAAAGUCAAUGCUAAAGACGAGUAUUGAACAUCCCACCAAGGAGUAUAGGAACAAUCACACAAAGGGGGUCUAGAUGUGCUACACAAGGGCACAAAGUGAAGGACACCAAGUAUGAUCUACAACAUGUGCUAUAAAGACAAUAUGGAGAGUCUAGAUGCACUUUUUGAGAAGACCUGAUUAGCCUUCUUGUAUCCCAAACUCUUGAAAACAUUUUAUCUUCUCAUUUGUUAGGUUAGAAAAGAGAUUCCAUAAGGCACAAAAGUAAAAUACACUAGGAGUACACAUGGUGUUUCACCAUGGAUGUGAAGUUCAAUGGACGUGUUGGGGAGUAAGACUUAGGGAUAGCAUCGAUCAAGUAAAUCUAUCUAUUGUCCUUUCGAAUAGUUGAUUUGUGAUUAGAGGUCUCUAACCACAUGAUGUUUAUAUCUAAAUGGUCUCGAGAAUACUGUGUGGAUUUUCACGUAAAAAAAUAUUUGUCUUUCACAUUGACUUAUUUAUUCUUGCCCUUAUAACAAAUGGGAAAGUUAAAAAAUGAAAAAUAAUUAACUUUUGGAUUAAAAAAAUUAUCUAUGUGCCUUUUGUAAUAAUUUAUUUCUUUUUUCAAAGAAGUUAAAAAAAUAAAAAAUAAUUAAUUUUUGGACUAAAAAUUUUGUGAAGACUAUAUACCCAUGUUAAUGGCCUCAUGUGGCAUAAGAGAAUCACAAGAAUGACGAAUAAAAACAUGUGGUAUAUAUUAUUUGUCAUUGCCAUUAUUCAUUUGUUGGUGGUAAAAAGUAAGAAGUGUAGCUAUCAAAAAGAUUUUUCUUGUACCUUUUUUCUUUGUUAGAGGUGAAAAAACAUGAUUUUAACAUGACGAGCUAGGCUUAUUGAUUUAUGUUUUCGUUUUAUUUUUUUAUUUUUAUUUCUGAUUUUAUUUUCCUAGUUUGUGUUUCACAUGCCACCUUGAGGAGGGAUAUUGGAGAUAUAAAGAUAUUUGACUCUGCCUAAAUUGAAAUAAGGAGAUAUUUGACUUUUCCUAAACAAUAUAGAGGAUGGAGAUCUUUCUUGGUAGAAUCUGAUUUAUUACUUUUUAUUGUAUAUAAGAUUAUUUCUAUUUUUGUAUAUAAGGCUAAGUAUCUUUUAAAAAUAUAUAAAAAAAAGUAUUUUCUCAAUUCUUGUCAAAACUCAAAAAACAUGAUUUUAAGGUCACGGGCUAGGUUUAUUGAUCUAUAUUUUGGUUUUGUUUUAUAUUUUUAUUUCUGAUUUUUUUUUUUUUUCCAGUUUGUGGUUCAAAAUAGCCUUUGUGGCACAAUUGCUAAUAAGCAAUGACGUUAGCAAAGAUGGUGAUACUUUGAAAAAGUUUGGAAUAUUAUGAACUAUUGAGAAGUUGAAAAGCUAAUUACAUUAAUUGAUAGGAACGAUUGAAGAUUUUAAAAUGAUAAAACGUGAGUCUAACACUUGUUCUCAGUGAAAUAUUAUAAAUCACUGAGAAGUUGAAAAGCUAACAUCGAUAGGGACUUUAAAACGAUUGAAGACUUUAAAACGAUCACACUUGUUCUUAUCUUGAGGAAAAAAUAGUGUCUUAUAUACUUUAAUUCCUGGCCAAUGAAUCCGAUAGGAUAAGAAGUGAUAGGGGUAUUAAUCUAAAUUGAUUUUCUCAACUGUGAAGCAAUUCACAGAUCGCUCCUGGAAAUGAAGCUUAGCUCAGUUGCAGUUUCCUUUGCUUUUAUUACUCUCCUCAUAUUUGCAUGGAGGUUAUUGAAUUGGGUGUGGUUGAGACCAAAGAAGCUAGAGAGAUGCCUUAGGAAGCAAGGUCUGACUGGAAAUUCCUACAGGUUGUUGCAUGGGGAUUUUAGAGAGAUGUCGAGGAUGAAUAACGAAGCAAAUUCCGGACCCAUCAGCUUCUCUGAUGAUAUUGUGAAGCGAGUUCUACCAUUUUUUAAUCAUUCCAUCCAGAAAUAUGGUAUGAAAAUUAACUUCUCUUUAUCAUUGCACUAAAAUAUUUGUGGAAUUUUCCCCAAUGGAUGUUGGUUUUCUGGUCUUUUUUUUUUAUUAGUUGUUUUUCCUGUCCUUUCUUUUUCUUCUCUAAGAAGUUAUAGCCAAAUGGAAUUUCAAUGGUACUUCAAAUUUCCUUUUUCUACUUAGGAGUGUAACUUUUAAGGUUUAUUUGAUUAAAAAUAAUCAAGUAAUCCCAAAUUUAUAAAAAAAGUCCUCAUUUAAAAAAGACUCAUUUUAUAUAUAUAUAUAUAUAAAAUACUUACUAUUUUUCUUUUCAGUCUAAAAAAUGACUCAUUUUUUUAUAAAAAUAUACUCGGGAAAAACCUGUUUUUAUACACUCCUAAAAAAUUAUAAAAUACAAAUUUCAAACAGUUAUUUAAAAAUAAUUAACAUUUCAUGUACUUUUUUUUAUAUAUCAAAUUUACUACCUUUUAACGAUAUAAGUAUUAUCUUUUAUCAUUUUAGGUACUAUCUUUGACUAAUAUAAAAAAAAAUUAUUUUAUAAUUAUUUUUAUAUAGUGUGAAAACUCACUUUUUUAAAUAUACUUGUUGUUUUUCUUAUAAAAAUAACAUUCUUUUUUUUUUCUUUUAAAUUUACCAAAAAAAAUUAUAAAAAUAUUAAGAGAUGUUUAUAUAAAAAAAUAACUAAUUUUUUAGUUGAAAUAUGAAAGGGGCUAGAUUUACAAAUUUAGGAUUAUUUUAUUCUUUUUAAUUGUGCCAUUCAAUUUUUUUAUAAGCUAUAUGUAGGUAUAUAUUGGAUUAUUUACUUUGUAAGUUGUUUAAUCGUUGGGAAUUGUGAAUAGCUUUUAAAUUUUUAUGCUAAUUGUUUCUCAUCUUUUCAAAUUUUGCAUGAACUUUUGACUUUUGAUAAUUAAUCAAAUCAUUAUAAUUUUCUUUAGAUAUUUGAGCUUCUUCAAUUAGAUAGCCUUGCAUUUGCCUGCUUGACUACCCAGGUCCUUUAGAUCCUUUCUAACCAUUAUCCAACAAUGGGCAUUAAAAAUGCAGGUAAAAAUAGUUUUACAUGGUUGGGCCCAAAACCAGUAGUAAAUAUUAUGGAGCCUGAGCUGAUAAGGGAUGUUCUCUUAAAGCACAAUGUCUUUCAAAAACCACCGCCGCACCCUCUCGGCAAGCUGCUGGCUACUGGUGUUGUUGCAUUGGAAGGUGAACAAUGGACUAAACGUAGAAAGAUCAUAAACCCAGCUUUCCAUCUAGAGAAGUUGAAGGUAAUUUUAUCAUGCUUAUUUUCCCAUUCUUUCUUUAUGUUUAAUUUUAGAAAUUGUGAGAGCAGAAUAAAUACAUUAAAGGAUGGAUAUGGUUAACUUUUUGAGGCAAUAUUUAUUUGGUUAUGCAGCCAGACCCCAACUUGUUGCCUGGUUUCUCUGCAUAGCCCUCUUCUUAUAGGAAAGAAAAUAAAUUUCCGAAUGUUCCAUAAUUUAGUAGACAUAUUCACAAUUUUACUGCCUCUUGUAAUCUUUUUUCUUAUGCAUGAUAAAUUUUUUCUAAAUUUAUUAAUUGUGUUUGAAUUUGUAUAGCACAUGGUAUCGGCAUUCCAAUUGAGUUGUAGUGAUAUGGUCAAUAAAUGGGAGAAGAAGCUCUCCAUGGACGACUCAUGUGAAUUGGACAUUUGGCCCUAUCUUCAAAUUUUGACGGGAGAUGUUAUUUCAAGAACAGCAUUUGGUAGUAGCUACGAGGAAGGAAGAAGGAUAUUCCAACUCCAGAAAGAGCAAGCACAUCUUGUAGCCCAGGUUACUCAGUCAGUUUAUGUUCCAGGAUGGAGGUAGGCAAAAAAUAUUUCAAGGAAUUAAUCUGAACCUCAGUACUAAUACCCAUAUGCUAUAUCUUUCACAGUAUCACCAACAACAACAACAACAACAAUAAUAAUAAUAAUAAUAAAAAUAAAAAUGAAGAAGAAGAACAAGGGUUUGAUCCAGCAUGGGACAAAAGCAAGAAUAAAAUUAACAACUGUUAUAACAUUUAAGAACUAUAAAAUGUUUCAUUUAUUUUGUUAAUAUGGCUCUCAACUAAUAUUUGUUUAUCUUCUAAAAUGGAAGUUUUCCAAUUUUUGGCUUUCUAUUUUAAGAAAUUUCAUUUUGUUCAAAUUAAAGAAUGUAGCUGUCUUGAAAACAAAAAUCAACUUCAAGUAUCCCCUUUUCUUUUAUUGGCAGAACAUCUUAGCAAGAUGAAUGGUGAAAUACUACUAUAAAAUAUAUGUAGACCAAAUGGACAAUUAAUGUCUGGAUAGUCUCAUCUUUGGAACACCAUGGAUAUUCCGAGAAAUUGAUCAAGUACAAAGUCAUGGAUGAAAUUGCAUUAGUUGCUUCCUGUAUUUUAUUGAUCUUCAUUUACUUGGAUUACUUCCAAGCAGGUUUUUCCCAACAAAGAUAAACAGGAGAAUGAGGCAAAUUAGAAAUGAAGUCAAUGCAUUGUUGAAGGGUAUCAUUGAGAAAAGAGAGAAGGCAAUGAAAGUUGGCGAAACUGCUAAUCAUGAUUUAUUAGGUCUGCUAAUGGAAUCCAACUACAGAGAAAUGCAAGAAAAUGAUGAGAGGAAGAAUGUUGGAAUGAGCAUCAAAGAUGUCAUUGAGGAGUGUAAGCUAUUCUACUUUGCCGGCCAAGAGACUACCUCAGUUUUACUUCUGUGGACAAUGGUUCUAUUAAGCAAGCAUUCAAACUGGCAAGCUCGUGCAAGGGAAGAGGUUUUACAAGUUUUUGGUAAUAAAAAACCAGAUGGCGAUGGCUUAAAUCACCUCAAAAUUGUGAGUACCAAUCCAAUAUAUAUUCAAUAUAGUAACUAUCUCUUCUUGAAAAUAAUAUAUUACUCUUUUUCUUUUUUUCAAUCUUAAGACAAAAUAUGUUUUGUUUCUGUAUCCUUUUUUCUUUAAUUGAAAGCUAUAUGCAGAUACUUGGUAGCCCCAAUGGAAUUUUUCUUUCCUCAUCUACAUGCACAACGCAUCAGCAGUGGCCACUUGACUUUAAUGAAGAAGGGGGGACAGACUAUUCUUUUCUUUGUGUGAAUUUUUUAUUUGCUUGUUAGGUUGUUAUAAGUGUGGUGAAAACUUUAUGCAAAUACUUAGUAUCAAUCAUUUACAAGACCGAAGAUAAUCUUGAUAUUAAACUCAAGGCUACAAUAUAUAUUCAAGGGGUUCUUAGUUUGUAUUGACCAGUUACUGUAUGGUCCUAUGUACAUGAAAGUAUCUGUCAUGAAAAAAGUCAAACAAUCUCUUUCAU
rnacentral:lncRNA from 1 species